rnacentral:lncRNA from 1 species
AAGAUGUCCAUGCUCGCUAUGGGGGCGUUCAGCCUGCUAUUUACCAGAGGCAUUUUGCUUAUGGCAACUACUCCAAUGCUGGACUGCAGAGAGGCCAAGCCACUCAGGAUCUAUCAUUGAUCACCUCAAACGCCUCACCUGUGUUUGUGCAGGCUCCUCAAGAGAAGGGAUUUGCAGCUUUUGCCACUGACUUUCUCAUGGGUGGUGUUUCUGCUGCUGUAUCAAAGACCGCUGCUGCCCCUAUUGAGCGUGUGAAACUAUUGAUCCAAAAUCAAGAUGAGAUGCUCAAGGCUGGUAGGCUCUCAGAACCAUACAAGGGAAUUGGUGAUUGUUUCGGUAGGACAAUUAAGGAAGAAGGUUUUGGGUCUUUAUGGAGAGGAAACACUGCUAAUGUUAUCCGUUAUUUCCCCACUCAGGUUUACCAUUUGUCUUCAUUUUAAGUGAUGAAAUUUAUGCAUCAAAGAUACAUGCUCACUUAUUGUUCUGUUUGUUUAAGUCGAGCAUUGACUGACUGAUGCUCUGCUCCACAGGCCCUGAACUUUGCAUUCAAGGACUACUUCAAGAGACUCUUCAACUUCAAGAAGGACCGUGAUGGCUACUGGAAGUGGUUUGCUGGAAACCUUGCAUCAGGAGGUGCUGCUGGUGCUUCCUCUUUGUUCUUUGUCUACUCCUUGGACUAUGCUCGUACCCGUCUUGCUAAUGAUGCCAAGGCUUCAAAGAAGGGAGGUGAGAGGCAGUUCAAUGGUUUGGUUGAUGUCUACAGGAAGACACUCAAAUCUGAUGGAAUUGCUGGUCUAUACCGUGGAUUCAACAUUUCAUGUGUUGGUAUCAUUGUUUACCGUGGUUUGUACUUUGGAAUGUACGACUCCUUGAAGCCUGUCCUCUUGACAGGAAACCUGCAGGUUAGUGUUUUUAUAUGUUUGCUUUGCUCUGCUUUUUCAUGUCUUUAUACUUCUCUGGAUGUUAUCUCUGCUGUGUCUUACCAAAAUGUUGUUAGUCUUUACCAUUUUGUUGGCUGUAUAAAUGCAUCAAUGUUUUCGUGUUGGAGAAGACUGUUUAUAGCUUGCUGUGGGAGAGUGAUAAGAAUUCAGUAUUUGUCAUUAAAUAUUGUCAAUUUCUGCUAAUUUUUCAUCUUCCUUGAUUUGUUUGCUAGAAAAUAGAUAAUUGUAAUUGAUUUUCUCGUGGGAAGUUAAUAUGGAUAUGGGAUAAAUAAAUGUUUUAGUAUAAAAAAACUAUAGUGUCUGACCCUUGUUAUGGUGCUGUAUACAGGAUAGUUUCUUUGCUAGCUUUGCUCUUGGUUGGCUCAUCACCAAUGGUGCUGGUCUUGCUUCUUACCCCAUUGAUACAGUAAGAAGAAGAAUGAUGAUGACAUCUGGUGAGGCGGUGAAGUACAAGAGCUCGCUUGAUGCAUUCUCCCAGAUUGUUAAGAAUGAGGGUCCCAAAUCUCUGUUCAAGGGUGCUGGUGCUAACAUCCUCCGAGCUGUUGCUGGUGCUGGUGUGUUGGCUGGAUAUGACAAGCUUCAGGUUCUUGUUUUGGGAAAGAAAUACGGAUCUGGUGGUGCAUAAGUCAGCCUCGUAACAUCCUUUAGAAUUUAGAUGGUGAUGAAAAUCUUUUUGGUGUUACAUUUGAGUAUUCAGUUGGGGAGACAUUUAUCAUUUUUCCUUUUGACUUUUUUUUUGUAAUAAUUCGAAAAAUCUUAGAGUGGGUCAAAGCUUAAAAACCCCACACUCGUUUCCCUUGUUGAAGGGUUAUUACUGUUUUGUUUGGGCGGACCUUAUUUCAAUUGCAGAGCUUACAGAUUCUGAAUGAAAUCUUUUGAUAAAAUCAAAUGCGGAUCAGUUUGGGACUUGUGUUAUUUUAAGUGUGGUAUACAAUAUUUUGCACUAACCAUCUUGUUUUCAUACUUAUCUUGAGGGUAUACAAAUUUUAUAUGCUUGACCCCUCUGUCUAUACAUAAUUAUGCUACACAUGAUGACAAAAUCCUAACCUGCAGCCGUCAGUUGUAUCUCUGUUUUGAUUGGUUGAUAUGGCAGUGUGAUUUAAACAGUACGUAGACAUGACUCCACGAGUCAUUGAAGGUUGGAUCAAUGUGGUUACUUUUUAUCCCCUAUUUUCUUACUAUUUGCUGCAUCUAUUGUUGCACAACAGUUUUCUUAGGUAAUGGAUGUGAACCGUAGGAGUCAAGAUUCUUUCAAGGAGAAAUAUUAUCUAGUUACUCUCUUCAUCUCAAUGUAUGUGAUAUAGGUUGAGCUGACCUGGAGUUUAAGUUGUGUUUUCUAAUGAAAAGUCAUUCUUGGUUAUGGGUGAUUAACACAGAAAUUAUUUCUGAUUGAACAAGUGAAUUUUUUUCUUAUAAAUUAAAGAAAAUUAUUAUAGAUAAAUAAAGGAUAUGUGUAUAUAUUAGGAAUGUACAACUCUGUUGAUUCAACCUGUAUGAAUAGGAAAAUUAAAACAAGGAUUAUGGAGUAGUUCAAACAAAAGCAGAGGAAACUCUGCAGAAGAGUUAAGUGUGUUGACCAAAUGGAAUUUCCUUGUUGUCAAUGGGAAUCUAAACAGAGCUUCGGAAGACUCGUAUCAAUUCCCUUAUAGAAAGCAAAUGGUUGAUCUGCAGUGGAGACAUUGAGUUGCCAUACGGAAAAAAGUAAGUCAAGAAUGUCCAUGUGUAGUGUACUAUUUUGUUCUUUAUUAAUUUCCUUACCGAAAGACCCUAUCUAUCUAUAUAUAAUAGGAGAAGAAAAAAUGUCACAUAUAAUAACAGUAUUCAACCUCUUCUUCAAUUCUUGAAAAUUUUUUUCGCAAGCUUUAGACCAUUGAAACUUAACUGUUUUCUGAGUCAACUUGGUCAAAGGAGACGAGAUAGAUGAAAACCCCUCAACAAACUUUCUAUGGUAGUCAGUCAAAUCUAAAAAAUUCCUUAUAUCAGUUGGAGACGUAGGUCUAGGACAACUUUGAACUGCUUCUAUCAUUUGGGUAUCAACUCUAAUCCCAUUACCAAAAAACUAUGUGGCCCAAGAAUGCCACAAAUUUAAGCCAAAACUCACACUUGAAGAACUUGACAUAUAACUCUUUAUCUUUCAAAGUCUAAAAGACUAUUAUGAGUUUACUAGCAUGAUCUUCUUUAUUCCUUAAAUAAAUUAGUAUGUCAUCAAUAAAGACAACAACAAACAUAAAUAAAUAAGGUUUGGAGACUCUAUUUAUAAGAUCCAUGAUGUCCAUAAUUGAUUCUAAAAGAUGUCUUUGGAAUGUCACAUUUCCUAACUUUCAACUGAUGGUAGCCUGAUCUAAGAUCAAUUUUCGAAAAGCAGGAAACACCCUGAAGCUGAUCGAAAAGAUCACCUAUCCUUGGAAGAGAAUAUUUAUUCCUAAUGAUAACCUUAUUCAAUUGACGGUAAUCUAUGCACAUCCUAAGGGAACUAUCACUCUUUCUCAUAAACAAGACUGGAGAGCCUCAAGGUGAGACACUUGGUCGAAUGAAACCCUUAUCUAACAGAUCUUUCAACUCUUUCAAUUCUGCUGGAGCCAUUUUAUAUGAAGGAAUAGAGAUAGAACAAGUAUCUAGAAGAAGAUCCAUGUCAAAGUCUAUCUCUCUUAGGAGGCACUUCAAGAUGAUCAUCUGAAAAGACUUUUGGGAACUUUUUUACUACUGGAACUGACUGAAUAAGAGGUAUCUCAAUACUAGAAUUAUUAAUUCGGACUAAGUGAUAGACAUACUCCUUAUAAACUAAUUUCCUCGCCUUAAGGUACGAAAUAAAACGAUCCUUAGGCACUGCUGAAUUGGUUUUCCACACUAAGACUGACUCAUUUGAAAUAUGAAACAUGACUACACAAUCAAUUGAGGCAUAACAUACAUGACGCCAAUCCAUACCAAGAAUGGUUACAAGCAAAUGAAAAUAAGAGAGAUAAACGUAAUAUUAUAAAACAUAGGAGAGGUGAGUGUUAUUAAGCAAAACCUGAAGGGAGAUCUCUGAAAUUAUCCCUUAAUAUUAUUAAAAGUCAUAUGACCAAAGGAGUUCCUAAAAUAUGAUAAAGGCACAAUAGUCUGGUGGACCCUUGUACUUGUAUCAGAUUGUAUUAUGGACCUUUCUACUUAGCUUUUUGUCUUCUGGAUCUUUAUACUCAACAUAACACAAUAUAUUAAACCCCACUGACCAUUUAUCAUCCUUAUGUGACAUUAAUAUAGAUGAGUUGGCAAGAGAGUGUAGUCACACGCCUGCAAAGGCAAGUGAACAUGAUAUUUGAAAUUUCAACUUUUACUUUUAAGUUAUUAAAAUUGUUUUUUUUAAAAAAUAAAUUUAAAAAGAAAAAAAACUCCAUCUUCUUCCCUACACUACCUCCAUCUUCUUCUCCACACUACUUUUUUUCCAGCCACCCCAACCCCAACCUAUUUUUCUUUCUUAUCCACACCCUAUCGUUAUUUAUCUUCAUUUUUCUUUCAACUUCUUUUUGUUUUUCUUUUUUUUGUUACCCUAAAAAAAAAUAAAAUUGGGCAAAAAAAUUUGAACAUAAUAAGCAAAGAAAAAUAAAAAAAAUUAGUGGAGUAGUUGAUAUCUCUAAUGAAUAACUUGACCUCUUUUGGUGUAGAUAAUUCUAGAGAGAGAGAGAGACCAGAAUGUAGAUACUUUAUGGACUUGUGUAGUAAUUUUUAUUUACUAGAAAAUAGUAUAAUUAAUAGGUUGACUCUCAUUUGUAAUCACUCAACUUGUAAAGCAACCUUCCAAGCUUAAUACAAUUCCUUUUUGAAAACUUUUUUUUUUUUUUAAUUUUUCUUUACAUUCUCUUAGCGAUCUAACUUUAAAAGGCUUAUUUGAGUUUACAAUAACGUGAAAGAGUCGUGAGUAAGUUAUCAAAUGUUGCACUGAUCAAUAGUGAGACUCUAAAUCCGUGACACAAAAGUCUGUUUAUAUGCAAAAAUGUUAUUUGGAUUUGGAGAGACAUUUUUAAUUUGAAAAUUAAUACUUGUUAUAAAUAAUUGAGUCCUAUGGACAAGUGUAUGCGAUUUUAGUUGGUGUAUGUCCAUAUAACUUGUGUUCGUUAGUUUCCUUUUAAAAAAUAAAAAUUAAUGUAUGAAGAUAGAUAUGACAUUUUUUUGAGAUUUUUUAAAAUACUUUUUCAUGUAUAAUAACCGAUAAAAGUGCUUCAAUUUUUUUUCUUAAAAAUUCAAUGAAAUUAAAUAACACCAUGUAUUUUUGUUUUUUUCAUAUCAUUAGGGUUAUCUUGAUUUAGCACAAAUAUCCGCUAAUUAUAAUUUAACACAAUAUGGAAUGAUUAAAAAAAACAGUCAAUUUCAAUAUGAAAAAGAAUAGCUUGUUUAUUGCUAAUAUACACUAUUCGAAUGGGGCCUACAUGGUAUGACUUCGUAAUAAUUGGGCUUUACUAUGAGUACGAAACAGGGAGUAAGAAAAAAAAACUCUUUUAUAAAAUUCGGAAUCAAAAGAAAAAAACCCCACAAAUGGUGAAAAUAGAAAAAAGUACAAAAAUACAACAAUGAUUAAAUAUAUAUAUAUAUAUAAAAGAAAAUUCUAGACUCGCCUACGUGGCACCACCAUAAAUCAGAAUUUUCUUUAAAUUUAUUUUGUUUCUAAAACUAGCCUUCCCUUUUCAUUAAAAGUUUCAAAUUUUAUGAAAAGUUGCGACUUUUAUGAAGAAUUGCGACUUUUAUGAAAAUUUGUGAUUUUUAUGAAAAAUUGUGACUUUUAUGAAAUGUUGUGACCUUUUUGAAGGGUUAUACCUUUUCAAAAGAGUUGUGACCUUUCUAAUAAGACACAAUAAGCAUUUGUUCACACUACCUUUUGUUGUCUAUAAAUAGAGGAAUUUCCUCUAACUUAAAACAACGAAAAUUUUAAACUUCUUCUUCUUCUGGAAAUUGAAAUAAUUGUGUCAUUUGCUCCUAUUAAAUGACUCCCUCACUCCAUUAUUUUUGUAUCAAUACACUGGUGAAUAUAACUGAUCUAUCAUGAGAAAAUAGAUUCCUUAAAUCUCAGGUAGUAGGGAGGAUUAAUCUCCUUAAGGGGAUAAUGUGCAUUUAGUGGGCUAGAUUUAUUCCAUUCUGUUUCACUCUAUUGUUACAGAUCCCGAAUAUACAUUUUUUUUGUAGGUAUUAAUUUAUGCUUAUAUUAUUAAUUGUUACUUUUGAAUACAUGCUUUAGGUUUUUUUAAUGUUUCUGCAAAAUUAUUGUUAUAAGUAUUUGUUAGUACAAUUAAAUAACAAACGUUACUUGAGUAUUCAAGCAAAUUUUCUCUAUUAGAAUUGUUACAAGAAAAAAAAAGAGCUCUUACAAAUCUCUAAUUUCAUCAACGACAUCAUUUUUCACAUACAAGGAUAACAUUUUGUUUUCUUUAGAGGAAAAAGACAUAAGUACCCCCUAACCUAUUCCCAAAAUCUCAUAGACGCACAUAUACUAUACUAAGGUCCUAUUAUCCCAUGAACUUAUUUUAUAAAUAAUUUUCUACCCUUUUUAGCCUAUGUGGCAUUAUCUUUUGGACCUAACGCGUGUUGACAUAUUUUUUCAAGCUACUAUCACGUAGGCUGAAAAGGCGUAGAAAAUUAUUUAUAAAAUAAGUUCGGUGUAAUAGGACCUUAGUAUAUUAAAAGCGUGUCUUUUGAAUUUCGAGCAUAAUUUGGGGGUACUUGUGCAAUUUUCCUUCUUUAAAAAAAUCCUUUAAGAGUUAAUAACUUUGCAUGAACAUUUUAUUUUUAUUUUUAUGUUGUUGUUAUCUAUUUUUUCACUAAAUUUUAUCAGUGGAUAUUAUGAGUACUUUAAAAAUUGAAAGUUGAUUGAAGUGUUAGUCUAUUUUUGAGGUAUGUUAUUUCAAAACAAGAGAACUUUUUUGGUCAGAGUGAUUUGUUAUCAUCAUUGGAUAUCUCAUAGUUUAUUCCUUUUGAUGUACUUUUUCCGUUGUUUUGUUAUCUCGUUAAAAUUGUAUUGAUUAUUUUUCAUUUUGUAUGUAUAUGAUCUUGCUUGGACAAAGUUUUCGUCCGUUUAAUUUUUGUCUUUUUUUUCCCUUCUCAUUUAGUUCUUCUAAAUAUUUUUGGUGUGAGUUAUGACUAUUUUUAGCAAGUUUGAUUUGCAGAAUAUGAAACAAAACCUGCUCUAAAUACAAGUAAUAUUUUUAGCUAUAUAAGAUAUGUCUAUUAACAUAGAUUUGUUGUCCUUUAUAUCCCAAGUCAUUGAUGAGCAUCUGAGUUAUUUAGGUUAGACUCACUUUUAAUUUUUUAAUGUUCGAGAAUAUUUCUCUAACAUGAGCCUAGAAUCCUACAUUUUGAUCUACUCGUACUUUCAUAAUGCAAAAAUUAUACAUACAUAUUUCUAAAAAAAUCGUAAAGUUGCAUCAAUGAAGUAUCUUCUAGAAGGGCCUUCAAAGUAGCAAUUUAAUGAAGAAUAAAUUUCUAAAAGGGUUAACAAUAUUAUUGUGCUGUUGUUUCAAAUUUAUUUUUCUCCUUCUUUGAAUUUUGCUAGAGUAACAAAGUAGCAAUAACAAAAAGUGGUAAAUAUUUAACCUCGGACAAGUAGAUUGUCUCUAAAAAAAAAUCUAUUUAUGUUGUGUGGUGUACAUUUUUAACGGUCUUAAUCUAUUUAUAACUGAUAUUGAUUAUUGAAAUUUUUGCAUAUUUUUUUAAUCAGAAGGAGUUAAUCUAACUCUAAAAUUAUGAGAUUCCAUAUUUUUCAUGUACAAAAAAAUAGAAAAAGUAUUUUUAAUCGUUACAUAAAAACAUUACUCGAUUUUAACAAGACAAUUAUAUCAUCAAACAUAUAUUAAGAUGAAUUAUGUAAAAGAUAAAAAAUAAUUAGAUAACAAGAUAUUUUUAAUCAUUCAUUAUAUUUUUUCAAUUCUUGAGAUAUGUGAUAAUUCGUUAGAAUAUUCUUAAAGCCUACUAAAAUUUAUCUUUUUUUUCCUUAUAACAUUUGAUUAUUGGAAAGGUUGUUCAAAAGUUUAGAAAGAUUAUCUAUACCCGCACAAAGUGCGGAUAGAUUACCUAAUAAAUAAUAAAGAAGAAAACAUAAAAUUUCACGAACUUAGCAGCAAAAUUUACUGUCUUUUUGACAUUACGAGUAAUUAUUUACCCCACAAUCUUUUUUCAAGUGAAUUAAAAUACACUCAAUUCGCUGACAUUACAAGUCAAAAAAGUAACAAUGCGUUUAAACCAAAAAUUAAAGAGAAAAAAAUAAGUGGGUCCCAAUUAUUUUCUUUUCUUUAUCUUCUUCAUAACCUACCACCCCGGCCUUUAGUACCACCAACCCCAACCCCAACUCCCGCCGCUUCAUCUUCCUCACAUCCAAUCCACCCCACCCGUCCUCAACCACCACUUGCACCACCCCUUUCUUCUUCUUUGAACCCUCACUCCCACCUUCUUUUUUUCUAUUCAAAUCUUAGUGUCUCACACUUUUCUUCUUCUUCUUCUUUGUUGAUAUUUUCAUCUUUUUUUUUCCUUCUUCAAGACGCCCUUUCCAUUAGUAAAACUUAAAAAAGUGUGAUGAACACCUAUUUGUUCUUGCUUCAAAUAAAUUAAUAUUUAUGACAAGAAUUGAAUGUGCGCGGAUAAUUUUAUUAGUUAUAAAUAAUUUCAAAAUUAUUUUAAAUACAUUUUGACCAACCUUUUAGAUAGUAUUUUUUCAUUUAAAUAGUAAUAGUAGUUUUUUAUAUAGGUUUUGAAUUCUUAUGUUUUAAAUUUAAAAUAUUAUUUUAUUUUAAUUUGAUUUAAUUUCAAAUAUUAGUCAAAUAAACAUUAAAGAACUCAAAUAUAACGAGUAUUUGAAACGAAGGGAGUAGUGAAUUACCUCCAUUCUUUUGGGGCUUAAAAAAUUAUUUUGCCUUUAGCACUUAACAAUCAGUUGUUAGAGUCUGGUUCUCUUCUUUACUGCUUAUAUCUUUGAUGUCUCAGGGCCUUUUGUAUGUUUUUCUUCUAAAUUGUUACUAUUUUUUCUUCAAUUUCUCAGAUACGGCUACAAAUUUAUAUCAAUUUACAGAAAAAGGCAUCAAUUUGUUUAAUUAAAAGGGUACAAUUAUAUGUCAUAAAUUAGGAAGAUGAUAACAAGUUUCCGACAGAGGUUUGGAAUAAUGGAAAAGGUCAAGUCUUUACAAUAAUAAAUAACAGUAUUAAAAAAUGUAAUGACUUUAGUUUUUUCUGCCUUUUUGUAGUGCAAGUCUUGUUGUCUGUUUAAUAAUGAAAAAAUUAACAUUUUAUGGAAAAUGAUAAGAAGUUCCUCAUAAAUUUUAGGAAUAGUGAAAAUGGUAAAGUCUUGUUCUUUAAUAUUAAACUAGAAAUUUUGUCUUUGUCUUUUCAGUCUUUUUGACCAAAUUAUGCAUUCACAUAUUAAGCAGCAAAAGUGAUAUGUUUUCUCAUCAUAUACCUAAAGCUGAGAAGUUUCCUGUUAGUCCUUAACAAUAUUCUUCAACAAUGUCUCAUGCUUCUUCUUCCAAAAUUUGCUAGUAUGAUGUCUUUUUGAGUUUUAGAUUUGAAGAAGAUACACGUAGAAACUUUGUGAGUCAUCUCUAUAAUUCUUUCGAAUUAAGAGGAAUCCGCACUUUUAAAGAUGAAGAGCGACUAGAACCGGGAAAAUCAAUUUCUGAUGAACUUUUGAAAGCCAUACAAGAGUCUAAAUUUGCUAUAGUGAUAUUUUCCAAAAGCUAUGCAUCGUCAAGAUGGUGUUUAAAGGAGCUUGCACACAUCAUAAAGUGUAAAAAGGAAUUGGAGCAGAUUUUCAUUCCAGUUUUCUAUGAUGUGAGUGUGAGCCAUCAACAUCUCCCUUUUGCUGAUUCAUUUUUACAACAUAAGAAAAAAAUGCAAAGAUGAUAUGGAGCAGGUUCAAAGAUGGAGGGGUGCAUUUGCGGAGGCUGGGAAAAUAUCAGGGUAUCAUUUACGAAAUUUCAACUAAGCUUUCUUCUUCUUCUGUUCGGGUUUCUCUUUAUCAAGAGCAUAAAAGGACCAAACUUUUAGCUGUAAUUCCACAUGAUCAUCAUCUAUACUUUUACCCUAAAAAAAGGACCAAACUUUUAGCUAUAUGGUUAUUUGAUGAUGUAAUUAGAUUUUAACAUGUUAUAAUUCAUAAUAGUUGGUUUAAGCUACUUUAUGACAUCGACAAGUCUUUCCUUUUCUAUUAUUUACUCUGAGAGUAUUUUCACUGUAAUGUAGGGAUGAGGCUGAGUGCAUCAAUAAGUUAGUUGAUAACAUAUUUCCUAAGUCACUUCAAAUUAUUUCACCUUUCCCGGAAAGUUUAGUGGGUAUAAAUCUCAGGUUGAGAAAGUAACCUCAUUAUUAGAUUAUGGAAUCAAAUGAUGUUCGCUCUAUCGGAAUUUGGGUAUGGGCGGCAUUGGCAAGACAUAAAUUGCAAAUGUUCUACAUCAAAGAUACCGCCAUUAAUUUGAAGCUGAUUGUUUUCUUGGUGAUGUUGGAAAACUUCAUCAGAAAAAUGGACUAACAUGGCUACAAAAAGUAGUCAUUCACAAGCUCUUGGGUGAAAAAUCGACUCUAACUAGUGAGCAUGAAGGGGUGAAUAUUUUAAAUAAUAUACUUCACUGGAAGAAAGUUUUGUUCAUCAUCGAUGAUUUAAACCAUCAAGAACAGUUGGAAUUUUUGGUUGGAGGGACAGAGUGGUUUGUUAUGGGUAGCAAAAUUAUUUUAACAGCAAGAGACAAGCACCUGUUAAUCAGUCACGUUGGGGAUAACGUGUAACAACUAUUAUAGGAGGAUGAAACACUUGAAUUGUUAAGUAGGCAUGCUUUUAGAGAAAAAUCACCAAAAGAAGAUUUUAUGAAAUUUUCAAGACAAGUGGUGAACCAUGCUGGUGGGCUCCCUUUAGCUCUUAAAAUUUUGGGUUCUUCAUUUUAUGGACGAGACAUAAAGCACUCGAUAUACAUAAUUGAUCGGCUGAAGAGAAUCCCUCACAAGGAUAUUCUAGGAACGCUUGUGCUUAGUUUUGAUGGCCUGGACAAAGAUGAGAAGGAAUUAUUUCUAGAUAUUGUAUUUCUGGAUAUUGCAUGCUUGACUAGAUACGAUUUUCAUCUUUGUGUGGAACUAGUACUUAGAGACGUGGGUCAGGAUUUUCUAAUAGAUUACCUUAUUGAAAAAUCUCUGUUAUCCAUCAACAUAAGUAACAGUAUGGUGAUGCAUAAUAUGAUAAGAGAAAUGGGUGAAAAUGUCAUACGGGAAGAGUAUGAUAACAGCAGAAUAUGGCUUCCCGAGGAGGUUUGUGACCUUUUUAAAGAAAACUUGGUAAGCAAUAUUUAGCGUUCGUAAUAAUUUCAUAUGCUCUUAGUUCUGUUUUUUUUUUGGUUUCAUUUUUAUUUGUUAGCAAUUAAAUACAUAAGUUUCAUUCUUUACAAAUAACUGAAAAGGUGGAAAGCCUAUCUAUACCAAAUGAUUACUAUUUUGAAAAUGAUUUUCUCAAUUAUAGCAAUAUUUUCAAGAGGAUACAAAGCUUAAAAAUACUCAUAGUUGGUGGUGGAACUUUUAGCUCGAACUGAGCUAUCACUUAUCUUCCCUCGAGCUUGCGGCUUAUAAGUUGGCCGGGGUAUCCUUCAAUUUCAUUGCCAGAGAGCUUUGAACCAUCACAGCUCCUGGUGCUUUGUUUACAUAGAAGUUGGCUUGUUGAACUUUGGCCAACAUCAAAGGUAUACUCUCUAUCUCAAUAUCUAAUUUCUUUGAUGUAAAUAAUAAUUGCUUUGAUAUACAUAAUUAACAUAAACAUUUUUAAUUUAUUGUGCACUCACUUGAAAGUGAAAACUUAAAACUUGUAAAUCCAAUGUACAAAGACUUAAAUCAAACACAUCAUCUCUCCAGCAGCUCAUACUUUAAUCUUUCAUUUCCCGAUUAAAUCUUCAAAUUAAUUAGGUGGAAUGGAAAUCCAAUGUCCCUCCUUGUGUCCCAUCUUUAAAUACUGCUUGUUAUAAAAAUAGGCUCCUUUUGUUUAUUAUGUAAGACAAUUGAAAUUUUCCCUUUGGUAAGCCCAAUCUUGUAGUCCCUAUGCUUUUCAUGAUAAUGUAAUACAAAGUUAUGUAUCUUUGCUCAAUUUGCUUAGUACAUAUUAGUACUAGUUUGUGAUGUUGUGUUUCGUAGAAACAAUAGUUGAUGCAUGUUGUUACAACUUUUGAUAUAUGUUUUCAAUGUAUAGUGAAUAAUUUGCAGUUUUAUAAGUAUACUUCGAUAUGUUACAUUUGAAUGUGGUAUCACAAGUGAAAACUAAAAAUCAUGAUAAUCCUAGAAUAAAUGGAAUAAGUGUAUAUGAGGUACUAUGAGUGAACUCAUAAUCAUGACAAUCCAAUAGAGUAAUGUUCAAAUGAGUUACCAUGAGUAAUAACUAGAAACCAUGGAAAUUCUAGAAAGAACUUAUCCAACAAGAUAGUCAAGGGGUCUAAAACAUAAGCUUAAAAAAAAGGGAAUGUUUCUCUCUCGGUGCAAGUUAACUUAAAUUGCGCCAACCAUGGGUAGGAGGGUUUCGUAUUUCCACACAGAAGGCGAUCAUGGCAAAAGAGAUGCAGAGCAUGAAGGGAAACACGCAGAAAGGGAGGAUAUUGGCUCUAAUGGAAGCUACAAAUGUCGAUUUAGGGCAACAAUUAGCAGAAUCAAGUAUGGAAGUUGGGGGAACACAAUGCACUGUCAAUUCAAAGAAUAAGAGAGCUGAUUUAAGUCAGGAACUAGAGGCAUUCACUGUUGGAAUAGAAAUUGGGGAACCUACUGAUGCCACUACGAAAGGAACGACGCUAGGUAAAAAGAAAGCAUUAUGGAAGCAACAAUCUGAGGCACAAAUCAUUUGGAAGGAGUUACAAACUCCACCAAGUGCUCAUCAAAUGGGUACAUCCAACAGUACCAAGUAAUCAUGGGUAGAUGAGGUUGAAGAAGAGGCUCAUUCUAAAGCACAGAAGAGGUCAAUUUGGGAUGACUUUGACAUUGCUAAGAUUUCUAAUGCAAGAUAUAAGUUGGAAUAUGUGGCUCCAUUGAAAGUAAGGGAAAAAUUGGUGGUGGAGAUUGAGAUAGAGGAUAUCAAAACAGAAAUCGAUUUUCGGAGUAAGGUUGUGGUAUGUUAUGUUUGUUAGAAUGAUGAAAAUCUAAAUAAUUGAAUAUAUUAAUGUAAUUAGAUAGUGAUACAAAUUAGCAUGAUCACAUAGAUUUGUUGUAGAAUCAAAGGAAUAAAUAUUUGAUAGAAUAGCGGAUUUGGAGGGAUUGAAUAACAGAUUUGUAGAGAUAGAAUAGCUGAUAUUUAGGGAUAGCAAUGACAGAUCUUUAGGGAUUUGUAAUAUUUAUUCUCUUUAUAUAAUGGAAAGACUCAUACUUUGAGAGGCGGCAUUCAACAAAACUGACAUGGUAUCAGAGCCUUUUGCAGUGCUUUGAUUCUUAGUGUCUUUCAUCUGUUGUUCCUUCCAGAUUUUUUUGGAAGUUUUGGUUCUGCUUACUGUUAGUCAAAAGUUAGUCCUAAGUAUCUUGGAAGUUAAGGCAUCUUAGAAUCUUAGUCUUGGUCAUUCUGAUUAUUUUGCAUGAUUGCAUUUUUAUAUUCCUUAGCUUGUUAAAAACAUGUCAUCAUAUCAGUUCGAGUCCUUCCAUGUUUGUUUCACGGGAAAAAAUUACUCCGUCUGAGAAUCUUAAUUCUAACUGUUGAAUGCCUUGAAUCGGACCCGUUACAACAGAAAGAACGGGGGUCUCGCUGUUAGGGCCCAAGCCUGUUAGGGCGUAGCUUAGCACUAUAUAUAGACGCUAUGGCAAACCUUAUUCUGAAUUCUGUUCUUGCCUCUCCAUAAUAAAACUGCUCCCCCUCUUCCCGUCGUAGCCAAUUUAUUGGUGAACCACGUAAAUCUGUUGUCUUAUUUUUCGCGUUUAUAUUUUCUCGUAUUAUCUCGAAUUUCGCAUAACAUUAAUUAUUUGUCAUCGGAAAAGAAUUAUGGGGCCAUAUAGAUGGAAGCGAUCCUACUCCUACCGAUCCUAAAAAGCUUGGUCAAUGGAAGGUUAAAGAUGCUCAAGUGAUGACAUGGAUUUUAGGGUCAACUGACCCUCUUAUUGUUCUUAAUCUCAUACCACACAAGACAGCAAAGGCCAUGUGGAAUUAUUUACGAAAGGUUUACAACCAAUACCAUAGCGCAAGACGCUUUCAGUUGGAACAUGAAAUUGCUAUGUAUUCACUAGGAGGUCUCUCCAUUCAAGAUUAUUUCUCUGAAUUUCAGAACUUAUGGGCUGAAUUUACCGAUAUCCUUUAUGCUAAAAUAUCUUCUGAAUCUCUCUCCAUCAUUCAAGGAGUUCAUGAACAAAGCAAGCGAGAUCAAUUUUUGAUGAAAUUACGAUUUGACUUUGAAAGUGUUCACUCCAACUUGAUGAGUUGUGAUCUAUCUACCUCGUUGGAUAUCUGUUUUAGGGAAUUACUUUGUGAGGAGCAGCGUCUCAUCAUACAAAAUGUUUUUCAUCAAGGAAAUGUUGUCACUAUUGCAUUUGAAGCUCAAGGGAAAGGAAAUGACGUGGAUAUGACUAGAACUCAACGCUACAGUUGCAAGAAAUAUGUUCAUAUUGCUCGCAAUUGUGGUAAGAAGUUCUGUAAUUAUUGUAAACAACAAGGACACAUUAUCAAAGAGUGUUCCACACGUCCUCAAAAUCGUAGGACAAAGGAUUUCCAAGUUGGGAUAAAUGAUUCCACUACAGAUAGAUCAUCUUCGGUAGGAUAAGUUAUUACUCCUUAAAUGGUACAACAAAUGAUCUUGUCAGCAUUUUCAACUUUGGGACUUCAAGGUAAUGAGGUAAUAUCUAAAUUUUGGCUUGUUAAAUUUGGCGCUUCCAACCAUAUGACCAACUCAAUUGAUAUACUCAAAAACUUUCAUGAGUAUAAUGGUCCAACACAAAUUCAGGUUGGCAAUGGUAGUUAUUUACACAUUACCAAGGUUGGGGAUAUUACUAAAAAUUUCAAGAAGCUCUCCACUAGUCUUAUUUCGGUUGGCCAAUUUGUAGAUAACAAUUGUAAUGUGAAAUUUUCUCGUAAUGGUUGCAUUGUGCAGGAUCAGGUGUUAGGGACGAUAAUCGCGAAGGGGCUUAAAGUUGGAAGAUUGUUUCCUAUACACUUUGCUAUUCCCUGUUCUGGAUUUUGCUUCCACCACUACUAAGAAUAAGGUUUGGCAUAAACGUCUAGGACAUCCAAAUUCUAUUGUGUUGUCUCAUUUUUGCAAUUUUGGUUUAUUGGAAAAUAAAAAUCAUUUUCCAGUUGCUUCCUUUGAUUGUUCUACUUUUAAAUCAGGCAAAAGUAAAACUCUUCAUCUUCCAGAUUUUGGUAGUCGUGCUGCAAAGUGUUUUGAUGCCAUUCAUGAGGAUGUUUGGGAAAUUUCACCAGUAACUUCACAUGCUCAUUUCAAGUAUUUUGUGACAUUUAUAGAUGACCAUAGUCGAUUUACAUGGGUGUAUUUUCUUAGAUCUAAAUCUGAUGUGUUUUCCAUAUUCAAGAAGUUUUUGAAUUACGUUGAGACUCAAUUUUCCACAUGCAUCAAAAUAUUAAGAUCUGAUUCUGAUUCUAGAAGUUUUUGAAUAUAUGUCUCAUGAAUUCAAUAAUUUGUUGCUUAAGAAAGGAAUUGUAUCACAACGCUCUUGGUCAUACACGCCACAACAAAAUAGGGUUGCUGAGCGUAAAAACCGUCAUCUUUUGGAUGUCACUCGUACUUUAUUGAUUGAGUCCUCUGUUCCAUCUAAAUAUUAGGUUGAAGUUGUGUCUACUGCUGUCUAUUUGAUUAAUAGACUUCCAUCUAAAGUGUUAAACCUUGAGUCUUCAUAUUAUCAUCUUUUUCACAAGCAUCCUAGCUAUCAUAGUUUUCAUACAUUUGGUUGUGUUUGUUUUGUGCACCUGCCUCCUUCUCAACGCAAUAAACUCUCUGUUGAGUCUAUUAAAUGUGCUUAAAUGGGCUAUAGUACAUCCCAGAAAGGAUUUAUUUGUUACGAUUCAAGUUCUAACAAAUUUCGUGUUUCUAUGAAUGUUAUUUUCUUUGAGAAUCAGUAUUUCUUUCCUAAUCAUAUUCAGUCAUCUUCUUUUUCUCCUCUUCUUCCUAAUUUUUAGGAUUUGUCAUUGUCUUCUAAGCGGUUCAAACCAGAUUUACGUAUGAACGACGUCGGCCAACUUUACCCCAUCCUUAAAUAGAUUUGCAACCUGAGGUUGCUGCACAAUCAGAAUCUGAGAUUUUUUCAAGGCCUACUCCUCUUGAGCCUCAUCGGCGAUCUACUAGAGUGUCUCAAACUCCUAAAUGGUAUGGUUUUUCUUCUACUUUAUCCACCAUCUCUAUUCCAACAGGUUACUCACAAGCCUCCAAGAUUGAAUGUUGGUAAAAAGCAAUGGAGGAGGAACAUUUGACUCUUAAAGAAAAUGACACAUGGGACAUGCUUUCAUGUUCUUCAAAUAUCCGCCCUAUUGGAUGUAAAUGGAUUUAUUCAAUUAAACUUUAUUCUGAUGGAACUCUUGAUCGGUACAAAGCUCGAUUGGUUGUUCUUGGUAGCAGACAAGAGUAUGGGGUGGACUGUUUGCAUCGGUAGAAAAAAUGACUACGGUGCGAACUAUUAUUGCCAUUGCUGCUUCACAGAACUGGUCUCUUUAUCAAAUGGAUGUCAAAAUCUUUUCUAUAUAGUGAUCUCAAAGAAGAGAUUUAUAUGAAACCUCCACCUGGUUUGUUCUCAUCACCUACAUAAGAUGUAUGCAAGUUGAAGUGGUCUUUGUAUGGAUUAAAACAAGCUCCAAGAGCUUGGUUUGAUAAGUUUUGGUCUACUUUGCUACAAUUUUCUUUUGAGCAGAGCAAAUAUGACUUGUCUUUGUUUCUUCGGAAAACAUCUACAAGUUGUGUUCUUCUUUUGGUGUAUGUAGAUGACAUUAAAGAAUCUUUUCAUAUGAAAUAUCUUGGUACUCUUACAUAUUUUUUUGGGUUUGGAAGUUCAUAAUGUUGCUUCAGGUGUGUUUCUAAAUCAACACAAAUAUACUCAGGAUCUGAUUUCUUUGACUGGUCUUCAAGAUUCCUCCUCCGUAGAUACUCCAUUGGAAUUGAAUGUGAAGUAUCGUCAUGAGGAAGCCGAUCUUCUUCCUAAUCCAACUAUGCUUCGACAAUUCGUUGGGAGUCUAAAUUACCUUACUAUUACUCGGCAUGAUAUCUCUUUUGCAGUGCAACAAGUUAGUCAAUUUAUGCAAGCUCCCCGUCAUCUCCACUUGGUGGCUGUUCGUUUUAUGAUUCUGUAUCUUCUAGGAACAUCUACUCGUGGAUUGUUCUUUCCAAGUGGUUCUCCUAUUCGUCUUAAUGUUUUUAGUGAUUUUGAAUGGGCGGGAUGUCCUAAUACUCGUCGUUCAGUCACUGGUUGGUGCAUGUUUCUUGGAGAGUCAUUGAUAUCAUGGAAGAGUAAAAAGCAAAGAUCAUGUUUUAAAAUUUUCAACAGAGGCUGAAUACGAUCCAUGUCUACUGCUUGCUCCCAGGUAGUAUGGCUUCGUGGAUUACUUGCUAAGAUUGGAUUUCCUCAAUCUCAUCCUACUCCUCUCCAUGUUGAUAAUACAAGUACUUUCAGAUUGCUAUUAAUCCAGUUUUUCAUGAGAGGACCAAACACAUCGAAGUAGAUUGUCAUUAUAUACGAGAAACUGUAGAUAAAGAAGUCAUUACUCUUCCACAUAUGGAAAAAUAUUGUCGAAUAAUUUCAUUCAUAUCUUUCUAUGUCAUGUACAUGACUUUAUAUAUACAUAAAAGAUUGUGCAAUAGAAUCACCUAAAUUAAGAGAAAGAAUUACAGAUAUGAUAUUCUAGAUUACUGCAAUUAUCCUAAGAUCUUAAAGCAUCAUAUCUUGAUAUGAAAAAUAUCUUCUCGUCUUAGAGGAUCAAAUCUUUGAUGACAAUAAUAUCUUCUUGAAAUCCUUUAUCAGCCAACGCUCCCCCUCAAGCGGGUGAAUGGAUAUCUUUCAUUCCUAGCUUGCUUAUUUGAUUUUGAAAAACAUUUUGGCAAUCCUUUUGUUAAAACAUCAGCCACCUGAUCUUUAGUGCUAUCAUGUUGUACAUGAUUAUGAGCUAUACUUAUUGCUGAUUUAUUGUCACAUUAUAGCCUCAUAGGUCCUUCCCAUCUUAUCUUCAAAUCAUCAAGGAUUAUUUUUAGCCAUAACAACUCACAAACUCCCAUCGCCAUAGAUCUAAACUUAGAUCCUACACUUGAUCUAGCUACAACAUUUUGUUUUUACUCCUCCAAGUCACCAUAUUUCCUCCUAAGAAUGUGCAAUAUCUAGAACAUGACCUUCGAUCCACUAAUGAACCAGCAUAGUCUGCAUCUGUAUAAACCAUGUAUCCUCCUCUUUUGAAUAAUACUCCUUUUCUUGGACUUCCUUUUUAAGAUAUUGUACAAUAUGGUUGAUAUCUUGAAGAUGCAUUUCUCUUGGAUCGUACAUAAAUUGGCUAACAACACUACAAAAAAUGCAACGUCCGGCCUUGUAUGGGACAAGUAAAUAAAUUUCUCUACAAGCCUUUGAUACAGACCUUUAUAAACCACUGAAUCUUCUGGAGCAUUGUACAAUCUAUGAUUAUAUUCAAUUUGUGUAGCCACAGGUUUACACCCUAACUUUUCUGUUUCUUUCAGCAAAUUAAGCACAUAUUUUUGUUGCGAAAUAAAGAUUCCUUGUUUUAAUGUGCCACUUCGAUUCACAAAAAAUACUUCAAUUUCCCAAGCUCUUUGAUGUCAAAAUCCUUGAGUAAACACUUCUUCAAAUUUUGCAUCUCCUAUGAAUCAUCACCUGUUACUAUGAUGUCAUCCACAUAAACCAACAAUGUUGUCACCUUUCCUGUUUUUGAGUGUCGUAUGAACAAAGUGUGGUCUCGUUGACUUUGUCGAUACCCUAGCUUUAUCAUGACAUUUGUAAAUCUUCCAAACCAUGCAUGAGGUGAUUACUUUAAUCCAUAGAGUGACUUCUUCAGUAUACACACCAUUCCCUUCUUGCUUUUAAAACAAGGUGGCACCUCCAUAUAGAUUUCUUUAUCUAAGUCUCCAUGUAUAAAGGCAUUUUUAUACCAAAUUGUUGUAGGUUCCAACUAUAAACUCCAGCCAAUGAUAAUAAACUUCUCAGUGUAUUCAUUUUCGCCACUAGGGAAAAAGUCUCCGAAUAAUCAAUUCCAAAUGUUUGUGUAUAACCCUUUGCUACCAAACAUGCUUUAUAUCUCUGUAUGGACCCAUCUAACUUGUAUAUCACAGUGAACACCUAUCUUCACCCGACCAACUUUUUUCUUUUGGUAAUUCCAUAAUAUCCCAAGUUUUGUUCUUCUCCAAAGCUUCCAUUUCUACCUUCAUAGAAUUCUCCCAUUCUUUAUUUCCUAAUGCUUCAGACAAAUUUCUAGGGAUAGGAAUUGCGUGAAGGUUACUGAGAAAAGCUUUAUGACUUGAGGAUAGGUUUUGAUAUGUCAUUGAGAGGCUCAAAGGGUGUUGCGUGCAAAUUCUGGCUCCUUUUCUUAGUGCAAUGGGAAGGUCAAGGUCAUUAGGUUGAUUAUCUUCAUGAUCAAUUUGGUUUGGUGUUUUUGACGGUUCAACAAUUUCAGGAUGGGUAUCACGAGCAGUAAUCGGAGGAGAUGAUUGCAACUGAGUUGUUUGAUUGGUUAGUCUCUUUCUUAUGGAAUGUACUUGUAAUGGUAGAUUAUUCUCUAGAAUUCUAUUAUCUAUAUUUGGAUUAGGAGACUCAAUGGGUUCAUUUGGAUUUAGAGACUCAGGUGACUGAAGAAAUGAUGAUUCAGGCAAGGAUUUUGCAUGACUAGAAAUGGACAAAUCAAAUAGUAACAAGUCUAGAGGUUCCUCUCCCUUCAAUGACUCCCCCCUGAUGUUAAGGAUGAUUAAAAAAGGAUUCACUCUCAUCAAAUGUGACAUCGUUGAAACAAAGAAUUUCUUUGAUCAUGGUUGGUAACACUUGUAACCUUUUUGAGUAGGAUAAUAUCCUAUUGAAACAUACUUAAGAGCACAUGGGUCUAACUUGCCUCCAUUUUGAGAAUGAAUAUGAACAUAGGCAAUACUUCCGAAGAUUCUAGGAAUCGAUUUAUUAGAAAUUUCAAAAUUUGGAAAGAAAUUCCUAAGAGUAUCAAGCGGACUUUGAAAGUUUAGAAUUCUUGAUGGCAUUCUAUUACUAAGAUGUGCAGCAAUUAAGACAACUUCCCCCAAUACUAUUUUGGCACCUUUUUGUGAAACAAUAGUGAUCUAGUAAUGUCAAGUAACAAACCAUUUCUUCUCUAUGCUAUCCCAUUUUGUUGAGGAGUAUUGACACAUGAAGAUUCAUGAAUAAUUCCUUCUUUUUGGAAGAAUACAGAGAGGUUUUGAUUGAAGUAGUCUUUGGCAUUAUCGGAUCGGUAUCUUUUAAUUGACACGUCAUAUUGGGUUUUAAUCAUAUUUAAAAAGGUAGGAAGAAUUUGUCUGACAUCUAAUUUUUGCUUUAGAAAAUAGAUCCACGUAACUCGUGUACAAUCAUCAAUGAAUGACACAAACCAUCUACCACCAGAAAUAUUAGGAAUAGGAGAGGGUCCCCAAAUAUCACUAUGAAUAAGAGAGAAUGGAGUUUGAAAUGACUAAUUCGAAAGGAAAUAUGUUUGUUUUUUGCAAUUUCACAAUCAUCACAAUGAAAAGACUCAACAUUCAAAUCUUUGAAAAAAGAUGGAAACAUCAUUUUGAUUGCAUAAAAGGAUAGGUGACCUAACCGACGAUGAUAAAGAAAUACUUUCUCUUUAUUGGACAUGGUAGAUUCAGACAAGAAAUAACUAGACAAGGAAUUCUGAGAUAUAUAUUCACCAUUGUGUAAAUCAAAACAAUAAAGACCACCUUUCUCACUAGCACGCCUAAUCAACUCCUUCGUGUUAUGAACCUGAAAUAAGCAAUAUGAAGGGAAGAAAGUUACUUGGCAUUUGGAAUCUUUUGCAAGUUUUUUGGAUAGAAAUGAGAUUUGCAUAUAACUUUGGGAUGUGAAAGACAUCUUUCAGUAUCAAGGAUUUUCCAAGUGGUAUAUCUUUUUGCCCAGCUACAAUAAUAACUGAACCAUCAGCUAUAGUUAUUUUUUUAUAGCUAGGACAAGGGGAAUAUGAUAUGAAGAGAUGAGAGAGACUGGUCAUGUGAUCAGUUGCCCCGAAAUCAACCACCCACAUUGGAGGAAGUGUGUCUGAGACAUUAGUAAUAAAAGAGUAAGAAGUACCUGUGAAGGCCAAUGAACUAUUACCUGUUGAAGUUAAAUGUUGCAAAUCUCCAAUUGAAACGUUAGAGUUAUUCUCUAUAGUUGCAGAAACAUUUGUAGAGAAUGGAAUAUUUGUGGCAUUAUCAUUUUCAGACAUGGUUUGGGUAGACAAAGAUAGCAAAAUGGGAUUUUUCAAGAUAGGAUGAAUAAAAUUGGUCAGGAAUAAGCCUAAAGCUCUGAUACCAUGUGGAAAAAGAUUGUCGAAUAAUUUUAUUCAUAUCUUUGUAUGUCAUGAACAUGGAUUUAUAUAUACAUAAAAGAUUGUGCAAUAGAAUCACCUAAAUUAAGAGAAAGAAUCACAUAUAUGAUAUUCUAGAUUACUACAAUUAUCCAAGAUCUUAAAGGAUCAUAUCUUGAUAUGAAAAAUAUCUUCUCAUCUUAGAGGAUCACAUAUUUUAUAACAAGAAUAUCUUCUUGAAAUCCUCUAUCAGCCAACACCACAUGUGUCCAGUGAUCUUCAAAUAGGUGAUGCGUUUACAAAAUCUAUGGUAUGACAACACCAUCAGUUUCUAAUAGGAAACUUGAUGCUUCUUAAUCCACUGGCAUCAAUUUGAGGUGGGAUGUUAGCAUGAUGGAAAUCUAAAUAAUUGUAUUUAUUAAUGUAAUUAGAUAGUGAUAUAAAUUAGUAUAAUCAUAUCGAUUUGUUGUAUAAUCAAAGGACUAAAUAUUGUGAUAAAAUAGCGGACUUGGAGGGAUUGAAUAGCAGAUUUGUAGAGAUAGAAUGGCUGGUCUUUAGGCAUAGGAAUGACGGAUCUUUAGGGAUUUGUAAUAUUUAUUCUCUCUAUAUAAUGGAAACUCACUUUAAGAGGCGUUCAACAAAACUGACAAUGUUUUGGGAGCUCAUCCCCCAUUUCAAGUUAUACAAGGAUAUAUUCACAAAAUUUGGGGUAAACAAGGUAUAGACAAAGUGGUCAUGCUUCAGAAUAGGGUGAUAGUAGUGAGGUACAAAACUGAGGCGGGAAAGCAUGAAGUAUCACGGGGGGGGGGGAUCUACCACUUUUAUAAUAAGCCAUUUAUUGUCAAAGAGUGAACACCAGAGAUUGAAUUCACAAAGGAGGAGCUAUCAACAGUGCCAAUAUGGAUCAAAUUUCUGGGGUUGGACUUCAAAUAUUGGAGUAUGAAAGGACUAAGUAAAAUAGGAAGACUAGUAGGUAGGCCUCUCAUGGUAAAUCGUAACACUGAGGAGAGGAGUGGGUUGAAUUUUGCAAGAAUACUGGUGGAGGUUGAGUUGGGGGCACAAUUACCAGAAGUAGUACAUAUCAAAAAUGAAAAAGGACAGCUUAUCGAACAAACAGUUCAAUAUGAUUGGAAAUCCAUACUGUGUAAAUACUGCAAGAAAUAUGGACAUAGUGAGGAAGUCUGCAGAUUGAAGAAGAAGAUUCCAAGAGAUGGGCAAAUGAAGCAAGGGACGCAACGAAUGGAAAGGGUGCCGCAACAGACUGUAGAAACUACCAUGAGACAUCAAAGCAGUAGUGAGGUCACACCAAGAAACCACAAUGAUGUUGGGAAGGAAAAAGGAAAACAAAGUGAAAAAGGAAGUACUAGUAAUGAAGGGUGGCAGGUUCCAGUGAGAACUGGAAGAACACCACAGUUGACAUCUCCAAGACACAAUCAGCAGGCUAAUGUUAAUUCAUUCCAGAUUUUACAUAGGAAGGAGGUGAAUUCGGAGAUUAGAGGCAAUGUGAGUGGACUGGCUAAUCUUGCUUUAGGGAAUGGUUAACAUCCUAAGUUGGAAAGUGAGGGGUCUUAAUGGUCCCAAUAAGCAAAGGGAAGUCCAAAUCCUUUGCAACAAUCAAAAGAUGAAUUUGAUAGGUUUAUUGGAAACAAAAAUUAAGAGGGACAAUAUAGAUGAAAUAGCUAGUAAGAUGUUUGUUGGCUGGAAAUUUGACACCAAUUUAGAUAAUCACUAUAAUGGUAGAAUUUGGGUUACAUGGAGGCCUAAUUAUUAUAGAGUUAACACUCUAAUGAAAAUUACUCAAUUGAUUACUUGUGAAGCUAUGUGUUUACCACUACAAAUCUCAUUUGAAAUCUCCUAUGUGUAUGAUUUUAACACUAUGGAGGAAAGGAAGGAGUUGUGGAAAUUUUGGUGCAACAAAGCAAAAUGUGUCGGAAACUGUGGAUGGUGCUAGGUGACUUUAAUUCUGUUUUAAAGGCGGAAGAUAGGGUAGGCGGGAAUGUUGUAGUAUGGUUGGAGGUGGAAGAUUUCCAUAAUUGUGUUAUAGCAAGUGGAUUGCUAGAAUUUCCAACGCAGGGACCUCGAUAUACAUGGAGUGAUAAACAUGCAAAUCAGAGAAUUUUUUUCAAAAAUUGAUUGGAUUUUUAUUAAUGAAGACUAGUUGAACAUUAUGUCAUCUUGUAAAUCCAUCUUCCUUCCUGAGGGCAUAAGUGAUCAUUGCCCUGCAAAAAUCACUCUAUCAGAAAUUCUUACGGCUAAGAGAUCUUUCCAAUUUUGUAAUGUGUGGGCACAACAUCCUCAGUUUUUGAAAAUUAUGAAGGAAGGAUGGGUUGUACAUAUUGAGGGUUGUAUGAUGUAUAAGGUGGUGAGGAGACUUAAACAUUUAAAGCGAAGUCUAAUGGGUUACAUUCAGAAGUUUUUCAAAAUAUUGUUGUUGGAAGGCAAUACAAAUAGGGAUACUUUACAGAAAGCCCAGGAAGGUUUACAUUCUUGUCCUACAUAUGAGGCACGUCAAUAGUUAGAAUACAAGGCUUAUCACAAGUUUUGAAAUUCUUCAUAUUUGGCUGAAAUGUUCUUGCAACAACGUAGUAAAGCUACAUGGAUUAGAUUGGGAGAUGAUAACACAAGGUAUUUCCACUCUAUCAUAAAGCACAAGAAGUUACGGAGGUGCACAGAAAGGAGCUGAUCCUACCAUUUGAUCCACAUGAUAUGAAGAAGAUAGUAUUCAAGAUUAACAGAAUUUGGAGCCCAGGUCCAGAUGGUUUUGGAAGUUGUUUUUACAUUGCUGCAUGGGGCAUUGUAGGGCAAGAUGUAACUAGCGCAGUGUUAGAUUUUUUCCAAUCCAGCAAGAUUCUAAGUCAACUCAAUUCUACUAGUAUUGCUCUUGUUCCAAAGAUAGAAAGUCUUGAGUUUGCCAACCAGUUUCGACAAAUUUCAUGUUGUUAUGUCAUACAUAAGAUCAUAUUGGAAAUGAUUUGUAGUAGACUAAGGAAAGCAAUCAGUCAUAUAGUAGCAACAAAUCAAUCAGCAUUUGUCGAAGGCAGAUCUAUGAUGCAUAAUGUGCUUCUUUUCCAUGACCUAUUGAGACACAAUAAUAGGAAAAAUGCUACUCCAAGAUGCCUAAUGAAAAUAGAUUUGAGGAAAUCUUACGACAUGGUUAGUUGGGAGUUCCUAAAGGAGAUGUUGCUUGGGUUUGGGUUUCCUGGGGAGUUUGUCAAAUGGAUUAUGCUUUGUGUAACAACUCUAGAAUUUUCAGUCAAAGUGAAUGGUGAAAACCAUGGCUUAGUUAAGGGGACCCUGUAUCACCAUUACUAUUUGUGCUAGUGAUGGAAUAUUUGUCUAGAAUUCUUAACAGUAUGGAGGAUUUACCAAAAUUUAGAUUUCACCCUAUGUGUAAGAAAUUGAAGCUUACUAAUAUUAUUUUUGCGGAUGAUUUGAUGUUUUUUCUGCAAAGGUAAUAUGGAGUCUGUGAAUAGAGUUAUGGAGGCCUUAGCACACUUUACAAAGGUGUCUGGGCUGGAAGCUAAUAUGGAGAAGUCAAGCUUGUUUUUAGCUGGAGUAGACGAUGGCAUUAGAGACCAACUGUUAAUAAGGACUGGGUUCACUGUCGGAGAAUUUCCUAUUAAAUAUUUGGGUCUACCUCUUUCUCCUAAAAAAUGGAAGUUGAUGGAUUGUCAUGCACUCAUUGCUGAAAUCACUCAAAGGAUCACUGUGACUUAUUCUAAGCAUUUGCCGUAUGCAGGUAGGCUACAAGUGAUAAAUAUUUUCUAUACAGAGUUUUUGGGGGGCAAUUUUUAUCCUUCGACAGAGUGUAUUGGAAGAAGUGGACAAAAUUUGUAGAACCUAUAUAUGUGGAGGGUCUGAGGAUAAAUGAAAGUUUACACUAGUAUCACGAGAACAAGUAUGCUUUCCAAAGAGGCAAGGAGGAUUAAGCAUUAAAGGUUGUAGUAAUUGGAAUGCUGCCUCUGUCGGACAACUUAUUUGGCAACUAAUAGUUAACAAUGAGUCAUUAUGGGUAAAAUGGGUAUUGGAAUAAACUAACUUCUCUCAAGGCACAAAUGCAUGAACGGUAUAUUCAAGACACAUAUCAACUUACAAAGGAUGGGAAGUAUUCUAUUACAAUUAGCUACUUGGCAAUCAUAGGUCAGAGACCAAAAUUGAAGAAUGCAGAAUUAAUAUGGAACUCUAUGGCCUUUCCUAGGAAAAGAUUUUUGGUAUGGUUGGUUGUACACGGUAGGCUUCUAACAUAAGAGAAGAAAAUAAGGCUCCAAAUUCAAGAUGAUGAGACUGAUUGUUGCCUAUGUGAUGAACAAGUGAUAGAGACUAAUUCUCACUUGUUUGAGCAUUGUAAAUGGAUUAAAAAAGUAUGGCUUGAGAUACAGAAAUUGACAGGGGUAAGGGUUUCUACUGGAGGUAUACAUCAAAUCUUGGAAAACAUCAAGAAGAAGCAUUGGAGGAAAUUUUAGAAGGAGGUUAUAACAGCUUGCUAUGGAGCUGCGCUUUAUCAUACUUGGCGUGCUAGAAACUGGAAGAAAUUUAGAAAUAAGUAUGUAUAUAUUAUAGAGGUUGUCGCGCAGAUAAAAAAAGGAGAUAGGGGAGAGAAUACGUUUACUUUGUAAAACUAAGAGAGCACUGACUUGUAGAUUUUUUAUUAGAGAACUAGAGAUGUAAUUAGUUGUUUGUUUUGUUGGAGGCCUCAUUUCUGCUAAUAGAAAUAAGGUGAUCCUUAGUUGUAAUUGGUUUUUAUGGUUAUGGUAAUCUUUUACAGUUGUUACCAAAAAAAAAAGAUAGUCAAGUAGAAUAUAGUGUGAAAUUCUAUCAAUUUUUCAUGUCACAAUUGUCUCUCGCUUUACCAUCUUUGCCGCUCAACUAAGGGAUUUUAGUCCGAAACAUUUCACUACAACUACUUCUGAAAUGUUGUCAAAAUAAGAAACAAUGGUGCGAAAAUAGCUUUUUUGUACAAGUUAUAUAUGGUCCCAACCUUAAAAAUUGUUGCGUUUGAGUUUGAUAAAUUGUGAAUCGAAGAAGGAUCAAGAAACAUAGUUUGCUGGAGAAAAUAUUUCUAUUAGGAGUACUACUUAAGCUCACCAUUUUUUUGUUGUUUUGGAAACAAAAAUUGAGCAACUUGAAGCAUUUGGAUCUCAUGAUUAGCUGUGAAUUAAGAAAAAACCCUAAUUUUGGUGAUAUGCCAAACUUGGAGACACUAAAUUUACACGGGUGUGUGAAUUUGAAAGAUGUCCAUCCCUCUUUUGGACAUUGCAGACUGCUUACUUAUUUGAGUUUGGAAGGUUGUCACAAAGUUAAGAAGCUUCCAAAAUUUGUCUGCAUGAAAUUUCUUGAGACUCUCAAUUAACUUGAAUGCAAAGCUUAGAAGAAUUUCCAGAAAUCUGUGGAGAUAUGCCGUGCUUAUCGGUAUUCUAUGUAAAAUCCACGUGGAUAAGAAACUUACCUCCAUAUUUCAGUAGCCUUAGCAAUUUGCAAUUGAUUGAGUGUGAAGUUCUUGAAAAUUUUCCAGACGCUAGUCAAAAUCUUAGAUAUCUCCGUAUUUCAGGUUGUAAUAAACCAAUGUUCUGGAUUGGUAAAUCUCCCCAUAUCUCUUGGAGUUCAAAAGAAGCUCCAAUUUUUAGAAAUAGAUAGAUGUGAGAACUUAAAGAAGCUUCCAAGCUCGAUUCAGAUGAAAUCCCUUCAAAAGCUCAAGAUAUCUAAUUCCCCAAAAUUAGAUACAUUUCCAGAAAUUGACGGAGAUAUGCAUUACUUGACACUGCUGACUCUGAUUUUUACUAGGAUAAGAGAAGUGCCUUCAUCCAUUGGGCAUCUAAGAGGACUCGAAUAUCUCUAUCUGUCAGGUUGUAAGAUCUUCUAAGUCUACCAGAUUGCCUCUGCAAUUUGAUGAAACUUCGAAGUCUUUAUCUCGAUGGGUGCAGAAAGCUAGAGAAACUUCCAGAAAACAUUGGUGAUUUGCAAGAUUUACAUAUGCUUGAUGCGAGCGAAGCUGCAAUCUCCCAACCACCUCCCUCCAUCACUAAGCUUGGAAAACUGUGGACGUUACGAUUCUCACAUGAACAACAAUUUUAACAUUCCUCAAGUUUUGUCUUGAAUCAAGUAUCAGGUCUAUCAUCCUUGACAUCACUUGAUAUUAAUAAUCACAACAUCUUGAGUGGACUUCAUGAGGAUUUAGGAUCUUUACACUCUUUGGAAAAUUUGAACGUAAGUGGAAGCAAUAUUUCUUGUUUACCAAAAAACGUCAAAGGACUCUUACACCUUCAGCAUCUGAACGUACAAUUCUGUCAGAAUCUUAUUGAACUGCCAAGAGAGCUACCCCAAAAUUUAAGGGAGCUAUUUGCAGAUUAUCAUCUAGCCUUGAAUAGUAGCAAAAAUCUCGUAAUUUGUUAUCUUAAGAUGUGUAGGCUCGUAAUAUCCGACCAUGGAACUUUCUCGAGUGAACAUAUUAAUGUGUUCCUAUAAAAUUUUCUCAGGAAAUACAUCCAGGUUUUGAUCUAUCCCACACAUAUAUGAAUGUUGAAUAUAUAUUCUCAUUAAAUUGAUUUCUAGCAGUAAUAAUAAUUUUCUAUUGCAUGCAGUGUGACUUCCACCAAAGGGCUUGUUUUAUAAUUUCUUUUCCCGGAGUCAAAAUUCCAGAGUUGUUCAAUUAUGACCGGUUUAUAAAUCAAAAUGUAAUCUCAAUUGAGUUGAACCCAUCUUGGUAUAGUGAUAAAUUCAUGGAUUUUUGGAUAAGUUACGGUCCUACUAGACUGGACGCAGGAUUAGAAGCUACAUUGGUCUGCAAGUGUGACCCUGAAAGAAAUUAUUCCUUGGAGUAUAGCUACAUCUUGAAUAUUCUAUGUUUGAGGAUCGUUUCAUUUGUUGUACCUACAUACCAUUUGAAACAUUGUGGCAUGCUUCUGAAAAUAAAGAAGAGAAGAACCCAAAUGAUUAUUACAUGUUGGAGAGAUCUGGGGAAGAAGUAUGUUGGGGAAUUCGCCUGGAGUAUGAAAAGGAAGCAAUGAUUGAUGCAAAGGUCUGUUUAUGACUUGUUUUACAUCACAAAUUUCAAAUAUUUUUCUGUCUUUCUUAAAUUUGUAUCAUAAAAAAAUGGUAUGGAAAGUGUAUGUUCUACAUUGUUGGUACCCUUCUCAAAUGGUAUGGAAUUUGUAUCGAUGAUAGAUGGAUGAAAUUUUUAUUUAUAAUGUUGAUGUUUGAGUGCGAAACAAUUUUUCUACCUUUACUAGGUAAGAGUAAAGUUGCAUACGCACCAUCUUCCUAAGAUCCUCUGGAGAGGCAUUUUUAGUGCCCUUUAACUUGGCUUUAAAUUAUAUUUUUGUAUUUCAACUUUGGAUGUGCACAAAUAGACACUUAAACUUGUAUAAAGUUAAACAAAUAGACACACAUAUUCCACAUGUCAUCCUACAUGUCAUUUUUUGUCCUACGUAGUGUCCUACGUGUAUUGUGACAUGUAGGACUCAUGUGUUUAUUUAUUUAAAAGUUGAAUAGUGAAAGUGUCUGUUUGUGCAUUAUGGAAGUUGAAGGUCAAAGUUAAAAUUUGAAGUCAAGUUUAGGGUCUAAUAUAUAUAUUAUGCCUAAUAACAAUUGAGUCAUAGAAUUUUUGUAUAUAUAAUGUAAAUGGAUGUUCCAUUAUGAGUUGAGAAAAUUUGUGUAGCUCAAUAUAUUCUUUUUAAAUUUACAUAAACACUUCAAAACUAUUCUGAAUCCAAACAGGCUCUAAUUAUAUACCUCAAUAGUUAGCUUUUGGGUGUGGUUCUCCCAGGUCAGUCUUUCUUUUCUGUUUUUUCUUCUAAAUUAUUACGAAAUUUUUCUUUAAUUUCUGGACAAUUCCUUAGGCAGGGCAAUAAAUUUAUAUCGAUUUGGUGUUCAUGUGUUUAAUUAAAAGGGAUAAUUAUAUGUCAUGAAUAGGAAGAUGAUAACAAGUUUACUACGAGUUUAAGGGUUAAUUUAGCAAAGUGAUAAGUAGAAGGGUUCAACUGACAAAUGGAGCCAAGUACAGGGAAAUUCUUCCCCACGGGUGCAAAUGGAUCAAGAAGAUCAAGAGGUUAAACAAGCUCUGCGUUGUACCCAACGUGGAAAUUGUCAAAACGAAGCCAAAAAAAUGUACUAGUAUUUUAUUUUUAUUAAAUUUAUAUCACACUAAUUGCUUUUUCUAUCCGAUAAUAAUUAUCCGCGGUACUAUUUUAAAAUGUCCAAUCAUAUUUAUCUACGUUAUGAAAUCAAUAAGUAAUUUUUUACUUACACAAUUAUAGCCACUUUGAAAAUUGCGAAAGGGAAAAAGAAAGUCAAAGAAAUUUCCAUGUGUUGUACUAUUAGGGAUAAUGCACAAGUACUACCUCAACUUAUGUUCAAAAUCUCAGAGACACUUAUACUAUACUAAGGUGGUAUUAUUACUCCCUGAACUUAUUUUAUUAAUAAUUUUUUACCUCUUUUCAGCCUAUGUGGCACUGUUUUAUGGGCCCAACGCUGGUUGAUUUUUUUUUAAGUUAGUGCCACAUAGGCCGAAAAGGGGUAGAAAAUUACUUAUAAAAUAAGUUCAAGGGUAAUAAGACCUUAGUGUAGUAUAAGUGUGUCUUUGAGAUUUCGAGCAUAGAUUGAGGGGGUACUUGUGCAUUUUCCGAGGGAAUUGCAGUUUGAAUAAGUGGAAACUCUGGAGAGGAGUAGCUUCAGACGUUGGGGUUAUAUUCUGGCAAGCAUCUUGAGAAAAGGGGGACCAAAUGAAAUUUCCUUGUUGUCAAUUGGAAUCAAAGUAUCUAAACAGAGCUUUGAGCCUCUUAUCAAUUCCCUUAUAGAAAGCAAAUGGUUGAUCCGCGGUGGACAGGAAAGUAGAUCCAUUGACCUUGAUGGGUGCCCAGAAUUGAAACAGACAAAUAUUUGAAGUCCACAUUUUCUCCAUAGCAAAUAGGAUCCUCCAAUUCUCAUUUGGAAAGAUGGAAACAACAUAAUAAGCUGGAGUUAUAAAAAGGGUUAGAGAGUGCUAAACUAAACAAAAUUAAAAUUGGAAAAUAUUCACAAAAGACUCUCAAGAAAAAGAGUUAAUGGGAAGAUUGCUGGUACUCCAACUUGUCAUUGUGUUUUCUGCUCCAAAAUGCCCAGCCAUUGCCAUUAUCACUGAGUUCCAGUUGAGACCAGUCCAGUUUACAAGGCAUUACCUCACAUACCUCUGAAGGUUCAUCAACAACAAGAUGCUCCAUACUAUACUAUACAAAUACAAUUUCACUAUCGCUUUGCUGCUUAUAUACAAGGAAGGAUUGUGGAUCAACUAUUCAAAAGUCAUCCAGAAACUACUAUUAUUUUCAUCCACAAUUCUCCAUUUAUAUUAUCACACUAAUUAAAUAAUUUAUCCGUUCCAUUUUAUAUAUAACAUUUUUAUUUUGUACUUGCGUUAUAAACUAAUACUUUCUUCGUUUCAAAAAGGAUGACCUAGUUUGAUUUGGAACAAAGUUUAAGAAAAUAAAUAAGAUUUUUUAAUCUUGUGGUUCUAAAUUAAAGUUAUGCCAAAUGUACCAAAUGUCCUUUAAUCUUGUGGUCUUAAACAUGUCACGUGGAAAGUUAAAUUAAAGUGUUGCAAAAAAAGGAAAGGGAUUAUUCAUUUUGAAACAGACUAAAAAGAAAAUAGGGUCAUUCUUUUUAAAACUGAGGGAAUAUAACUUUAUCCUUCUUUUCUUAUUUAGUGUUUUCUUAAAUCAGCAAAAUAUAAUAAUUUAUACUUCCUCCGUUUCAAAAAGGAUGGCCUAAUUUGACUUGGACGGAGUUUAAGAAAAGAAAGAUAACUUUUUUAGUCUUGUGGUUCUAAAUUAAAGUUAUGUCAAAUGUACCAAAAUGCCCUUUAAUCUUGUGGUCUUAAGCAUGUCAUGUGAAAAAUUAAAGUUAAAGUAUUGUCAAAAAAGAAAAGGGGUCAUUUUUUUAAAACAAACUAGAAAGGAAAUAGGGUAAAACGGCGGGAGUACAUAAAGUUUAUAAAAUGAUAAAUAUUGUGGUCCAACUAUUUAUAAAAAGAGACGACAUAUUAUUUCUUCCGUUUCAAAAACAAUGACAUAGUUUAAUUUAACACAAAAUAUAUCAAAAAAUUAAAAGACUUUUAUUCUUUUUGGUCCUAAAUUAAGGUCAUAUCAAAUACAUUUAAGAUAAUUCUUUUGUAAGCAUACUAAAAAAAUAAUUCCUUUAUUUAGAGGGAAACGAUGCAAAUGGAUCAAGAAGCUCAAGUGGUUCUACAAGCUCCGAAUUGUCAAAACGAAGGCAAAAUAUCGUACUACUAUUUGUUUUUUAUUUAAUUUACAGGAAAGGGUUAUAUUGUGAAAUUAAUAGAAAUAUAUUUUGUUUAUAAUAUAGUUUUAAAAUAUUUUUAUCAUCAAUAUUUUGAUUUUAAAAUUUCCUUAGUAUUAUCUCUAAAGAACCUUAUUCUUACUUUCUUUCUUUUUACAGUUAGGGGUUAUGAAAUGAUUUUUAGGAGCUUUUGCAAAUAGUCAUCAAAAUAAAUUUAAUAAUAUUUAAUAGUUAUAGUUUGCAUAUUUAUGGGUAGUAACUACAGUUUAAGCAAUCUCUUUGUAUAAUUUACAGGUUUGUAUAAUUUGCGGGUACAUUUGUAUAAUUCAGUUAUUUUUAUAAAAGUCAAAAAAACGAAUUUAUACAAUUACAAACAUCACAAGUGUAAACAAUUAUAUAAAUUAUAUUAUACAAAUUUUGAAUAUCACGCAGAUCUGGUGACAAAGAAUUUAGAAUCCAAGUUGUGACCAUAUCAUCACACCUUUCCCAUUGCUGAAAGCUAAGAUUAGUAGGAUCGGGUCUCACAACCUUCCCAUUCAUGAGCAUUUCGAUUUUCUACUAUUCCUAGUCCUUAAAGAAGGUACUUGUGCCCUUAGGGGAUGGUUUGAAUUCAUCCUUAUCAUGAUCUAAAAAUCUAGUGACACCUGCCUUAUCCCACCAAUACAUGUUAACUUAAACAAUCCUUGACAAGGGCAAUAACAAAAGUAAGAAAGAAAUCAAGAACAAAACAUAACAUAAUAAUGCAAAACUCUUAAUAUAACACAGUUUUCCCUCAAAAUCUAGUGUCACGUGUACAAGCCUCUAAAUAAUACAACAGAUUUAAAAGAAGUACAAGUCUACAAUAAUUAGAUAGUAGAAAGACAUAAUCAAGAGUAUGUGAUAACUGUUGAGAUGGUCACGAACAUCUCCAAAGGUAAGUCUUAAUAAAGAUGUGAGAGGACGAUCAAGAUGAUCCAGACUCGUAACCUACACAAGUAUGGAGAGAAAGGGAGUAAAUACCAAAUAAUAACGUUACUCAGCAAGCAUUCCUAGAUAACACUAAGUAAAGUGAUAUCAAACACAAGCACUCCGUCACACUUUCUAAACCUCUUCAAACUAAAAUUACUAUAGUAUUUAGAACCAACUCAUCCUAACAGUUUUACAAGUAACGGAGCAACACGUUACAUGUAAUACACAGUUAUAUCACAUAUCAGAGUCUCUAUAGUAUCACCGUAACCUGUCACAUCUAGAUAGCCAUAAAAUAACAACUCACUCAUAAAAGACAAGAAUGACAAUGAGGAGUGAAUACAAUGCAAUGCAAUGUCAUAUAAAAUGAAGCAUGUCUGUUCAGUUGAUACACAUUGGCUAACUAGUAUCUGUGACACAUACAGAACCUGUAUGUUCAUGCAUUCACUACAAAAGUGCUAAUUAGGAGCUCAGGACCUACAAAGGACAUAUUAGUACAUACAUCCGUUAAAUGCAUUUUUUACCAGUAUAAACAUCAAUCACCAAAACAAUUUUCCAUCGAUAUUACAUUAUUCGCCGAAAUCAUUUUUCAUAAGCAUAAAAAUCAAUUGCCAAAAUUAUUUUUCAUCAACAUAUUACGAAUUCAAAUUCCACGAUAGUGUUUUAGAUUCAAUACAAAUAAGCAUGUUCACAUGUAUAAUAAGAAGAUGAUAACUUUCACAUCAAUAAUCAAUCCACACACACAAUUAUGACACAUCAUCAAAAGUGAGUCAAGAUAAUCAUUCAAGCUACUCGUGGCACAUCACACAAUAUUAUAUGUACCAUUCAUUUUUCCCCAAGUAAUCAUAACAAAUAUUCAGACAAUUUAAUAACAAGCACUCCUUUGUCUUAAUUUAUAUGACUUUCUUUCCUUUUUAUUUAGUCCAAAAGAGAAUGACACAUUUCUAUAUUAAAUAACAAUUUAACUCUAAAAUGUAUAUUUUACGCUUAAUGAAAUGAUUUACAACCACACAAAUUUCUAUCAUUCAUUUUGAACCAUAAGUUUUAAAAAUCUUUAUUUCUUUCUUUAACUUCGUAUCCAGUCAAACUACCUCACGUAAAAUAGGAUAUAUUAGUACAUGCAUCCGUUGAAUGCAUUUUUUACCAGUAUAAACAUCAAUCACCAAAAUCAUUUUCCAUCGAUAUAAACAUUAUUCGCCGAAAUCAUUUUUCAUAAGCAUAAACAUCAAUUGCCGAAAUUAUUUUUCAUCAACAUAUCACGAAUUCAAAUCCCACGAUAGUGUUUCAGAUUCAAUACAAAUAAGCAUGUUCACAUGUAUAAUAAGAAGAUGAUAAAUUUCACAUCAAUAACCAAUCCACACACACAAUUAUGACACAUCAUCAAAAGUGAGUCAAGAUAAUCAUUCAAGCUACUCGUGGCACAUCACACAAUAUUAUAUCUACCAUUCAUUUUUCCCCAGGUGAUCAUAACAAAUAUUCAGACAAUUUAAUAACAAGCACUCCUUUGUCUUAAUUUAUAUGACUUUCUUUCCUUUUUAGUCAGUCCAAAAGAGAAUGACACAUUUCUAUAUUAAAUAACAAUUUAACUCUAAGAUGUAUAUUUAAUGCUUAAUGAAAUGAUUUACAACCACACAAAUUUCUAUCAUUCAUUUUGAACCAUAAAUUUUGAAAGUCUUUAUUUCUUUCUUAAACUUCUUAUCCAGUCAAACUACCUCACGUAAAAUGGGAUAUAUUAGUACAUGCAUCCGUUGAAUGCAUUUUUUACCGGUAUAAACAUCAAUCACCAAAACCAUUUUCCAUCGAUAUAAACAUUAUUAGCCUAAAUCAUUUUUCAUAAGCAUAAACAUCAAUUGCCGAAAUUAUUUUUCAUCAACAUAUCACGAAUUCAAAUCCCACGAUAGUGUUUCAGAUUCAAUACAAAUAAGCAUGUUCACAUGUAUAAUAAGAAGAUGAUAAAUUUCACAUCAAUAACCAAUCCACACACACAAUUAUGACACAUCAUCAAAAGUGAGUCAAGAUAAUCAUUCAAGCUACUCGUGGCACAUCACACAAUAUUAUAUCUACCAUUCAUUUUUCCCCAGGUGAUCAUAACAAAUAUUCAGACAAUUUAAUAACAAGCACUCCUUUGUCUUAAUUUAUAUGACUUUCUUUCCUUUUUAGUCAGUCCAAAAGAGAAUGACACAUUUCUAUAUUAAAUAACAAUUUAACUCUAAGAUGUAUAUUUAAUGCUUAAUGAAAUGAUUUACAACCACACAAAUUUCUAUCAUUCAUUUUGAACCAUAAAUUUUGAAAGUCUUUAUUUCUUUCUUAAACUUCUUAUCCAGUCAAACUACCUCACGUAAAAUGGGAUAUAUUAGUACAUGCAUCCGUUGAAUGCAUUUUUUACCGGUAUAAACAUCAAUCACCAAAACCAUUUUCCAUCGAUAUAAACAUUAUUAGCCUAAAUCAUUUUUCAUAAGCAUAAACAUCAAUUGCCGAAAUUAUUUUUCAUCAACAUAUCACGAAUUCAAAUCCCACGAUAGUGUUUCAGAUUCAAUACAAAUAAGCAUGUUCACAUGUAUAAUAAGAAGAUGAUAAAUUUCACAUCAAUAACCAAUCCACACACACAAUUAUGACACAUCAUCAAAAGUGAGUCAAGAUAAUCAUUCAAGCUAAUCGUGGCACACCACACAAUAUUAUAUCUACCAUUCAUUUUUUCCCACGUGAUCAUAACAAAUAUUCAGACAAUUUAAUAACAAGCACUCCUUUGUCUUAAUUUAUGACUUUCUUUCCUUUUUAGUUAGUCCAAAAGAGAAAGACACAUUUCUAUAUUAAAUAAUAAUUUAACUUUAAGAUGUAUAUUUUACGCUUAAUGAAAUGAUUUACAACCACACAAAUUUCUAUCAUUCAUUUUGAACCAUAAAUUUUAAAAGUCUUUAUUUGUUUCUUAAACUUCGUAUCCAGUCAAACUACCUCACAUCAAAUGGAAUAGAGAGAGUAUAAUAUAAGAAGACCUUCACCAUUCCCCAUUACUCCAAAGUACACAACGAAACAUAGAAGGUUCAAUAUACUUUCAAAGGGUUAAAAAGGUUCACUUACCUUAAAAAGGAAAGAAAUCAACUUGGUACUAUUCAUGUCAAUUUUUUUAAUUUUCAAACGUCUAUCUCUUCAUAUCAAUUUAUUUUAAUGUGUUCAAAUUUAAAUUAAUGUGAGCUAUUUUUAAAUUUAGAUGACCCGUUUAUUUUCCACCUCUAAAUAUAGUCAAAAGUUUAGUUUGUGGACAAGUGUAAAUGGAUCAAAAGCUCAAAAGUUACAAACACACUUAGCUUUUUUUUUUUUUGGUUGUUGUUGGAAAUUGUACAUUUUCCCAUGUUGUAGUCCUCUGGAAAUUGUCAAAGGUAAAACGGAAGGCAAUAAAUUGGGAAGUUAGUACCGUUUUUUCUUAUUGAAUUUAAAUAAUAUCAUCCAUAAUACUACAGUCUACAAGGUUAGCAUUUUUUACUAGUUUUACAUUACAAUGUCUAUUUACACGUAGUGGCCUUGAAGCCGGGGGGACACAAAAUAUGGCUACCAUUAAUUGGUGGUUCCAUAUUACAAAAGGUGGAAGUAAAAUAUAUUAAUAUUAAGGGAAAAUGCACAAGUAUUUCCUCUAUUUAUGUCCGAAAUUCUAGAGACAUAUUUAUAUUAUGCUAAUGUCCUAUUGUCACACUUCUUUUUUUUCUCUCAAAUAUUUUUUUUUUUAUUUUUCGUAAGAAAAGAGUUUUUCCAAUUAAAGUGACAUUUUGAAAAGUGAUAAUUAUUAUACAGAGUCGCCACUUAGAAUUGAGUUUUGGUGUUCCAAGUCACCUUAUUUAAAUCCCUAAUCAAAAGGAAAUUUGACUCUAUUUUUUAUUGGUCUGCAAACUAGAAAUUCGGGUAAGGAUUUCUGUUGACCGAGGGGAAGGUGUUAGGCACCCCUCGAAUCCCGUGGUUCUAGCACGGUCGCUUUAUUAACUUUGAUAUGACUUGACUUAAUUUUGUAUAUUAUAUUUUUUAAACUUAUUGAUAAAUUUUUAUUUACCCAAAUUUAUUGGUUAACUUAUUUGAAACUGACUAAUUUAUUUGAAAUGAUCUUCUUUUUUCAGGGUAUGUCCAUUUAUUUUUAAAUACCUAAUAUUUUGAAAGUAAAAUUUAUGUAGGAAAGAGAUUUUAGUGUUUGAGUAAUUUUAGUAUUAUUUCUUUUUUAGUUACAUUUUUGAAGAAGAGGUAAAAUUUUAAGAGAUUUACUAUUAUUUUUACAAGAAAAAAUUUGAUUUUUUUUUAAUGCUGCAUGUUCUUUUUUUUAAUUAUUAUCUUUGAUAUUUUUUUUUUGUAUUUUUUAUAAUAAAGUAAUAAUUUUUAAUUUUGGUUGACAUUCUUUUAAACUCACUCUUUAUCUUUCUUUCUUUUUUACUUUAUUGUUAUAAAAAAAACUUACGUGUUUGUUAACUUUUUCAUUAUUAUUUAUUUCUAUUUUCCUUUCAUUCUUUUUUUUUUAACUUUCUGCUUUAUUAACUUUUUUAUUGUAUUGUUAUUUUAUAAAAUUUGUCUUCUUCUCCUUUUUUUUUUGUAUAAUUUUUGUUACUCUUUUUCACGUUCUUUUUUUUAUUCUUUUUUUUUAUUUCUCCUUCUUUUCUUUUCUUUUCUUUUCGUUUUUUUUUUCUUUCUUUUACACGUUUUUUUUUAAAUUUUUUUUCACGUUUUGAUUUUAUCAAUAUUCUGUUUUAUAUUUUUUCAUUUUUUAUUUUUCUUCUAAUUAUUUAUUUUAUUUUAUUUUAUUUUAAUACGUUUUUUAUGUUCUUCUAUCUUUCUUUUUUUUUUCUUUAACUUUCUGUUUUAUUAAUUUUAUAUUUUUAGUUUAUAAUUUACUUAUUCUUCUUAUCUUAUCUUUUCUUCUUCUUUUUUUUUAUACGUUUUCCUAUUAUUUUUUUUCUCUGAUUCUUUCUUCUUCUUUUUUAUUUUCUUUAUUUUUACAAUCUCUUUCUUCUAAUUUUUGGUUAUGUUUUUUUCAUUCUACUUCUCUUUUCUUUUUAUUUUUUGAUUUUUUCAUUUUUCACAUAUUUUUCUUUUUAUUUUAUUUUUUAAAAAAAGAUUCUGUUAUUUUUUUUAUUUUUUUUUCGCUGUUUUUUUUUUUGUUUUCUUGUUUGUUUGUUUUUUGUUUUUUUUAUUUAUUCUUUUGUUAUCUUUAUACAAUUUUUCAAAAUUUUACUUUUGUUAUUGUUAAAAUUAUAUUUAUUAAUAUUAAUUAUCACUAUUUCAUCAUGAAUCUCUAGAUGAAAUUUAUUUCUCUUUUUAAUUAACAAUUCUAUUUAGAUAAUUUUUGUUUUUGAAAAAUCAUUUAUUAAUUAUUUUUAUAUUUUAAUCUAACAAGUUAACAAUAAAUUUAACAAAAUUCUAAAGUGAAAAACUAAACGGAAAAAUAUAUGAAUCUAAUCAAAUUUAUCAAUUCAAUAUCAUGAAGAGAUAUAAAUUACAAAGUGUAUCUAAAAAGCAUAAUAAUAACAAUAAUAAUAAUGUAACAAUAAUAAAUAUGAUACAUGCGAUUUGAAGAAUUUCAUACUAUUGAAAUCUAAUUUUCAUACAAGUAAUAUUAUUUAAAUCACGCGAGAAUUUAUAAUUACCUCGCUGCGAAAUUUCAUACCACAAAAACAAGCUUUCUACGAAUUUGGAACCAAGAGGAAAACCUCUAACUCUAACCUAAUUCUCAAAAGAAUAACUCACUUUUCUUCUCUUUGCUUUUUUUUCUCUCUGUAUUUCAAUCUGUCUUUGUGUGUUUUUAACAUCUCUCUGUAUCUGUAUAUUUUUAUAAUUCUUUUGACUAAGAGUUUGGUGCUAAAUAAAAGAAACGUAAUAGAGUUGAAUUAGGAUUUAAUUUGAAAUAUUGUUGAGGAAAUUGGGGUUGAUGAUAAGGAUAUAAAAUAAAUAAAUAAAUAAAUAAUAAUAGAAAUUAACAAAAAAAAAAUAAAAAAAAUGUUUAAACUAAACGUGCAAAGAGAGAGACAGAGAAAAAAUGAAAAAAUAAAUAAAUGAAUAAAUAAAUGGGAUGAGAUUUUUUAGUAAAAUAAGUUAGGAAGUUGGGAAUAAUUAGGAUAAAGGGGAGGUAAUUUGAAUAUUUAGGACUCCCUUUUUCUUUUCUUCUACCAUUAUUUUUAAAGUAAUUAAAAGUUGAAGAUUUAAAACAAAUACCAUAAAUUCAUAAUUUUUUAUUAUUAUUAAAGUAAUUUACACAAUUUAUUUAUUUUUAUUUAUUUUAAAUAUAACCUUUUUUAAAAAAAAUUGGUGUUAAAUCUUUAUAUUUUGGUAAAAAAUUAGGUAUUCACAGUAUGCCCCUCUUUGCUUGAAAACAUGAAGAGUUUUCAUGCAAAGACAUGAACAACGUGACUAAUUUUUUACUGAAAUAUUUAUGUGAAAAAUUUAUAGUAGAGAAGAGGUUUGACUGUGUCCUAACUUUUAAAAAUAUCCUAUGUUGAGAUGAUAAGGAGUCAGGCGUAGUUCCAAUGAGUUAGGUAGUCGAGUGAGGUUUUGUCGAGAUUCCGGUUCGUAGCUCCAGCUAUUACAAAAAAAAACAAAAUGCAAAAGAAAAGAUAUGAAAUCCUAUCUACUCCGAUAGUGCUAAGUCUUCAUUUUGGAUUCUCAGAUAUCGCUUCACCCUCUUAGGUAGGUUCAUCGAUUCCCGCCCUUUGCUCUAGACAUCUGAGUUUAAGACAUGAAAUUUCAUGACUUGACUUCAGCUACUGACAUUCUUCCGCAUGAUAUUCUUGAAAACUUAUUUUGCUUGAAAUGAUGAAUUCUUUUAUUUUUGAACUGCAAAUUUGUGUACUAUGUAGAAACCUGCACACAAAAGGAAAUUUAAUACCCAAAUUGCAAUCCAGGGGUUAUUGUGCCCUGUGAAGACAUGAAAAAAAAUUAUAGGGGUUAUUGUGCCCUAUAUGCAACCAGGGGUUAUUGUGCCCUGUGAAGACAUGAAAAAAAAAAUGAUAGGGGUUAUUGUGCCCUAUAUGCAACAAGGCGUUAUUGUGCCCUGUGAAGACAUGAAAAAAAAUUAUAGGGGUUAUUGUGCCCUAUAUGCAACCAGGGGUUAUUGUGCCCUGUGAAGACAUGAUUAAAAAAUUAUAGGGGUUAUUGUGUCCUAUAUGCAACCAGGCGUUAUUGUGCCCUGUGAAGACAUGAAAAAUAAAAUGAUAGGGGUUAUUGGGCCCUAUAUGCAAUCCAGGGGUUAUUAUGCCCUGUGAAGACAUGACAAUAGGAUAGGGGUUAUUGUUCCCUAUAUGCAACCAGGGGUAUUGUGCCCUGUGAAGACAUGAAAAAUAAAAUGAUAGGGGUUAUUGUGCCUUAUAUGCAAUCCAGGGGUUAUUGUGCCCUGUGAAGACAUGAAAAUAGGAUAGGGGUUAUUGUGCCCUAUAUGCAAUCAGGGGUUAUUGUGCCCUGUGAAGACAUGAAAAAAAAAUGAUAGGGGUUAUUGUGCCCUAUAUGCAAUCCAAGGGUUAUUGUGCCCCGUGAAGACAUGAAAAUAUAGGAUAGGGGUUAUUGUGCCCUAUACGCAACCAGGGGUUAUUGUGCCCUGUGAAGACAUGAAAACUAAAAUAGGGGUUAUUGUGCCCUAUAUGCAACCAGGGGUUAUUGUGCCCUGUAAAGAGAUAAAAAAUGAUAUGGGUUAUUAUGACCUAUAUGCAAUUCAGGGGUUAUUGUAACCUCUGAAGACAUGAAAAAUAAAAUAGGGGUUAUUUUUUUUACUUAUAUUAUUAUUUAAUAUUACUUUAUUUUUAUUAGUACAUUGACCAAUUUAAAAAUAAAAUAAAAUACCCCAGAUUUUAUUAAGAAAAAAAAUAUUUUUUUUAAUUUUGUAUAUUAUAUGAGAGACAAGGAUUCAAAAACUUACCAUCGCGGCGUUUGUCUCUAGCGAAUUACUUGCAUUAUUUGUCUUUAUAGCUCUUUCAGCCUAUAACUUUAUUUCUAUCUUUAUUGUGCUCAUGCCAAGACGGAAUGUCAUCAUUUGAUAAAUGGUGUUAUUCGUGAUUUUUUACCAAGUAGACAUUCUUAUUUUUUUUACUGUCGUCUUAUGUUUCUCUCGAGAAUUUUCACUCAUUAGACCCUCUUAUUUUUUAAAUUUUUUAUUUUUUAUUUUUUUCUAUAACAUACCAUAGGCUACAAUGUCAUGUUUCAACCUUUGUAGAUUUUAAAUAGCAUGAUCAUUUUUUUAUUGAGUGAUUAGACCGAACCUCAAUGAAGGGCUGCCUACAUAUCCUCUUAGAAAUCAGGUCGAACGUAGUUUAAUAAAAAAAAUAUUUUUUUUUAUUUAUGUUUAGAAAUAUAAUGGAAAAAUUGGAAAAAUAAUUAGUUCAUGUUUGAUAAUGCUUUGACUUUAGUUGGUACCAACAAUUAGUAUUAUGCAUAUGAACUACAUUCAACGACUUUCAAAUAAGUUUGAGGUCAACUUUGAGUAAUUUAUAUUGUUUCAAAUUGUAUCUCAAAUAUAUUUAAGUAAUUACAAGAUCAAUUUAUCUUGUCAAAAUUAAGGGAUAGAAUUAUUCGUAUCCUCAUGUUUCAAAUGCACUCUCAAUAUAUGAAAGUCCUACUUCACACAAUAUAAUAAUUUAGAUCGUUGGACAUUUUUGAAAGUCACUCCCACUCAGAAAGAUAUUCAAUGCAUGAAAUUAAGAUACCAUAUGAGUGGCUCUCAUGUAAGCAUCCACUAAUAUGAGAACAUAAAAAAUGAGAUCAAAUAGGACUUGUCAUUGGUUUGUAAUGUAGUCUUAGGGAAAGGUAGAAUAUUCAUUUGAGAUAAAAUGACUAUUUCCUCCUUAGAAUUCGCACGAUGCUUUUGAUAUUUUUUUUCGUUUUUGCAUUUGACCUUUGUUUCUUGUAAGGUCUUUUACAUUUUUUUUCUCUCUUCAUUUUUUUGAUCUUCUCUCCUUUUUGUUGGAAUCUUUUUUUUCAUUUUUCAUUCUAUCUUUUUUUUUUGGACAUAUUUGAUUUUUUUUACUUUGUUACCCAACUUAGGUCUUUGAUGUUAUAUAGAUAUUUCAUAGUGCGCUCAAGGAGGUGAGAUAAAGGGAUUAGUGCAUUUUUACACUCAAAAGGUAUAUAUGCUAAGAUGUGGUUAUUCAAAUAAAAAGCUUUCAGGGUCGAAAUGGGAGUUCUGUUGAUAAAUGUCAUUCGGUAGGCUUGAAAGGCACAAUCGAUUCAAAGAAAGCCUAUAAUUCUUUCUCAAGUUAAAUGUUGCUCAAAAUUUCAUCUCAACCAACAUUCGGGCCAAGUUCUAGAUCAGCAAAAUCAUGACUUUGAAUUUUACGUCGUAAAGCUCACCACGCAAUGCAUUUGAAACAAUGAGGUAAAAUUUAUUUUAUCAAUAACUUUAAACAAGAUAAUUUCUCAAGUAUGACAUAAAUGUAUUGAGAGAUGUCAAUAGAAGUCUAUAGUUCACAACAAAGUUGAUAUGUCUUACCAAAUAGUUUAACACUUUAUUUUUUUUUCUUAUGCAUAAUCCUAAGCAUGUUGUUACCAACCAAAUCAAAGAAAAAAAAAUCUAUUUUUUUGCCCCAGUUUACGUGACUAGAAUUUUUAGGAUUUUUUUUCCUCGGUUGGACUGAACCUUACAAUAAGGUUGCCUACGUAUCUUGUUAAACAAGAAUCAGGUCUAACGUAGUUCCAAAAUAUAAGUAAAAAUAUGUUUUCUUAAAGACAAAUUUCCUUUUUAAUAUAUACACAAAUUAUUUCAUUUUUUAAUUUUUAAAUAAUAAUUAAGAUAAUUUUUUAAUUUUUUAACUUUUAAAUAAGGAUCACCGAACCCAAGGAAGGUUGCCUACGUAUCUCAUCAAGGUGAGAAUCAGGUGUGCGUAGUUCGUUCAGAUUGAACGUUUAAAUAAUUUUUGUUUGAAAUUUGUUGACAAAUGCAACUCUUUUCUUCGUUUAAAGUGAUAUAAGAAAACUUUUAAAAUUUCUUAUAUGUACAAUUUAAAAGACAUAUAUACAUAUAUUAUUAAUAUUAUUAUAUUUAUUAUUUAUGUAUUAUUUUAAUAAAAGUGAAAAAUAAAAUUGAGGAUUAGGAGGUGUGUAUGUAUAUAUAUGUGUACUAAUUUAUUUAUUUUGAAUCAUUGGUUGAAAAUGGGUAGAAAAUAGAUAUUUAUUUCUUUAGUCGAUUAUCCUAAAGCUGAUCAACAUUUUGUUAUAGUCUUCACAUGAUGCAACAAGUAGCAUAAAAAUUCACAUGAUGAUCUCAUGAAUAGAUAUCUGUCCUAGUCAAAUUGGGCCCUAAAUUCCGCUAAGUUACAUGCACACAAUGCAAAUAAAUCGGAACCUAGUAAGAAUAUCAUGUCUGAAAGUUUCAAUUCUACUAAGGUAAGAUAUCUACACUGGCUGUAAAACAAGCGGACAACUCGAUCAGGGAGUAGCAACGUACCGGUAGCAGCACUUUCCGGUUUUGUGCAUGGGUGCUCCCUAUCCUAAAAUGGUGUGACUACAUAUCCUUCACCAUGGACCGAAGAUCCACCGGCUAUCUUGACAGAAGUGGGGUGCAUAGUUGCAAUUCCCAUCAUAUUUUUAUUGAAGACUCAUAAUGGUUCGGGAGACAAGCAAUUCAAAUAUUAUUAAAACAUUAAAUAAAUAAACAAUUAGCAUAUUAAGUUAAAAUAAAUACAAUAUCCAAAAAGCGUAAAUAUACAAGUCAUAGUCAUACAUAAAUUAAUAUUUAAAGCUCGAAUUCUAGUUAAUCCCCAGCGGAGUCGCCAUCUGUCACACCUCUUUUUUUUCUCUCAAAUAUUUUUUUUGAUUUUUAUUUUUCGAAAGAAAAGAGUUUUUCCAAUUAAAGUGACAUUUUGAAAAGGGAUAAUUAUUAUUCAGAGUCGCCACUUGGAAUUGAGUUUUGGUGUUCCAAGUCACCUUAUUUAAAUCCCUAAUCAAAAGGAAAUUUGACUCUAUUUUUUAUUGGUCUGCAAACUAGAAAUUCGGGUAAGGAAUUCUGUUGACCGAGGGGAAGGUGUUAGGCACCCCUCGAAUCUCGUGGUUCUAGUACGGUCGCUUUAUUAACUUUGAUAUGACUUGACUUAAUUUUGGAUAUUAUAUUUUUUAAACUUAAUAAUAAAUUUUUAUUCACCCAAAUUUAUUGUUUAACUUAUUUGAAACUGACUAAUUUAUUUGAAAUGAUCUUAUUUUUUUUUCAGGGUAUGUCCAUUUAUUUUUAAAUACCUAAUAUUUUGAAAGUAGAAUUUAUAUAGGAAAGAGAUUUUAGUGUUUGAGUAAUUUUAGGAUUAUUUCUUUUUUAGUUACAUUUUUAAAUAAGAGGUAAAAUUUUAAGAGAUUUACUAUUAUUUUUACAGGGAAAAAAUUUAAUUUUUUUUUAAUGCUGCAUAUUCUUUUUUUUAAUUAUUAUCUUUGGUAUUUUUUUUUUGUAUUUUUUUUAAUUUUUUAUAAUAAAGUAAUAAUUUUUAAUUUUGGUUGACAUUCUUUUAAACUCAUUCUUUAUCUUUCUUUUUUUUUACUUUAUUGUUAUAAAAAAAAACUUACGUGUUUGUUAACUUUUUUAUUAUUAUUUAUUUCUAUUUAAAAUUUAUUUCUCUUUUUAAUUAACAAUUCUAUUUAGAUAAUCUUGUUUUUGAAAAAUUAUUUAUUAAUUAUUUUUAUAUUUUAAUCUAACAAGUUAACAAUAAAUUUAACAAAAUUCUAAAAUGAAAAAUUAAACGGAAAAAUAUAUGAAUCUAAUCAAAUUUAUCAAUACAAUAUCAUGAAGAGAUAUAAAUUACAAAGUGUAUCUAAAAAGCAUAAUAAUAACAAUAAUAAUAAUGUAACAAUAAUAAAUAUGAUACAUGCGAUUUGAAGAAUUUCAUACUAUUGAAAUCUAAUUUUCAUACAAGUAAUAUUAUUUAAAUCACGCGAGAAUUUAUAAUUACCUCGCUGCGAAAUUUCAUACCACAAAAACAAGCUGUCCACGAAUUUGGAACCGAGAGGAAAACCUCUAACUCUAACUUAAUUCUCAAAAGAAUAACUCACUUUUCUUCUCUUUGCUUUUUUUUCUCUUUGUAUUUCAAUCUGCCUUUGUGUGUUUUUAACAUCUCUCUGUAUCUGUAUAUUUUUAUAAUUCUUUUGACUAAGAGUUUGGUGCUAAAUAAAAGGAACGUAAUAGAGUUGGAUUAAGAUUUAAUUUGAAAUAUUGUUGAGGAAAUUGAGGUUGAUGAUAAGGAUAUAAAAUAAAUAAAUAAUAAUAAUAAUAGAAAUUAACAAAAAAAAUAAAAAAAAAUGUGUAAACUAAACCUGCAAAGAGAGAGAGAGAGAGAGAGAGAGAAAAUGAAUAAAUAAAUAAAUAAAUAAAUGGGAUGAGAUUUUUUAGUAAAAUAAGUUUGGAAGUUGGGAAUAAUUAGGAUAAGGGGGAGGUAAUUUUUAGGACUCCCUUUUUCUUUUCUUCUACCAUUAUUUUUAAAGUAAUUAAAAGUUGAAGAUUUAAAACAAAUACCAUAAAUUCAUAAAAAAAAGAUUAUUAUUAAAGUAAUUUACACAAUUUAUUUAUUUUUAUUUAUUUAAAUAUAACCUUUUUUAAAAAAAUUGGUGUUAAAUCUUCAUAUUUUGGUAAAAAAUUAGGUGUUCACACCUAUUAUUCUCUAAACUUAUUUUAAAAGUAAUUUUCUAUCCUUUUCGACAUACGUGGUACUAGUUUGAAAAAAAGCCAAUCAGCGUUGGGCCCACAAGAUAGUAUCACGUAGGCCAAAAAGAGGUAGAAAAUUGUUAGUAAAUAAGUUCAGGGGGUAAUAGGACCGUAGUAUAAUAUAAGAGUGUCUAUGAGAUUUCGGUCAUACGUUAAGGGAGUGCUUGUGCAUUGUCCCUAAUAUUAAUUAGUAUAGGUAUUCGUGUGUUGUGCAGAUAUUUUAAAGGUAUAAUGCAUAAAUAUGUCCUUUAACUUGACUUCGAAUCACAUAUAUGCCCUUCAACUUUGGGUUUGCACAAAUAGACACUUAAACUUGUAUAAAGUUGAACAAAUAGACACACACGUCCUACAUGUCAUUUUUUAUCUUAUGUGGUGUCCUACAUGUAUUUUGCUAUGUAGGACUCAUGUGUUUGUUUAUUUAAAAGUUGGAUAGUUAAAGUGUUUGUUUGUGCAUUAUGAAAGUUGGAGAUCAAAGUUAAAAUUUGAAACCAAGUUUAGGAUCCAAUAUAUGUAUUAUGCCUAUUUUAAAAUAUAAUAAUUUAAAUUUAUGACUUUAAAAACGGAAAAGGGCCUAAAAUACCUUUGACCUAUCAGAAAUGGUAUAAAAGUACCCUCCAUUCACCUAUUGGUCCAAAAUACCCUCCUCAUCCACUUAUUGGCUCCAAAAUAUCCCUGUCAUCCACCUUGGGUUUAAAAUUGACCAAUUUUUUAACGAUUUAAAUUUAAACUAUUUAAAUAUUUUUUAAUAUAUUGGCUCUCAACUAUUUGUUAUAGUUUAACUUAUUAAUAUAAUUUAUAAAACAAUAUACUACCCACCAUUACUAAUUAAACUACACCCAAUUAAUAAACCCGCUCCAUUACUAAAGCAACAACAGAAAAGCUACUACCAAUGAGUAUUUUUUAAAAAUUUGAGGCAAAAUUGUAUAUAUUAUACAUUCAAGUCCUCAAUCAAAACAUAUUAUAAUUCAAGUGUCUAAUUAAAAUUUACUGAUAACUUAAAAAUAUGACUAUGUUCAUCUUAAUUAUUCAUUCGUCUCAAUUAUGUGGUGUUACUUAAUAGAUAAAUUUUAUAAAAAAGAAUACAUUAAAGUUUUAAUAUUUAAAACUAAUAAUAAAUAUUUAUAAAAUUAUAUUUUAAAAAGUGCAUGAAUUAAUUCGGGAUGUACUACUUCUUCAUCUUUAAUCAUAAAAUACGAAUUCAAAUUUAAAAGAGAAUCCUAUUGAAAGCGGUCUCCUAAAUAAGCGGCUCAACCUAAAUUUAAUGAGAUUUCAAUUCGGACUCGAAUAAUUUUGAUUGUCAUUUUAAGGAAUAUGUAAUUUUGUUGUGUUUCAGUAGUGUUUAGGGCGAUUAUGAUAUUAAAAUUGAUUUAUUAAUUGAGUGGGGUUCAAUUAGUAUAUAAAUGAUAUUAUAAUUAAAUUAUAUCAAAUAGUUGAGUAACAAGUAUUUUUAAAAAAAUAUUUAAAUGGUUUAAAUUUGAAAAAGGAUAUUUUGCAGCCAAUAGGUAGGUGAAAAGGACAUUUUCGAGCGAAUAGGUGGAUUGAGGGUAGUUUUGUACCAUUUUCAAUAUUUCUAGGGUAUUUUAGGCCCUUUUCUGCUCUAAAAAAGAAUGAUAUAGUUUGAUUUAACAUAAAAUUUAAGAAAAUAAAAAACUUUUAAUUCUUUUUAUCCUAAAUUAAAAUUAUGUCAAAUUUAUUAAAAAAAUAUCAUUCUUUUUUAAACAAACUAAAAAAGAAAUAAAAAAUUAUUCCUUUAUUUAUAAGGUACAAGGGCAAAUGGAUCAAGAAAGUCAAGAGGUUCAACAAGGUCCAUGUUGUACCGAAUGUGGAAAUUGUCAAAAACCAAGGCAAAAUAUCCUACUACUAUUUGUUUUUUAUUCAAUUUAAAGAAAAGGAAAAAAUAUAAUGUGAAAUUAAUAAAAAUGUAUUUUGUUUGUAAUGUAUUUUUAAAUGUUUUUAUCAUCAAUAUUUGAAUUUUAAAAUGUCCUUAGUAUUAUUAUCUCUAAAGAACUGCAAUAUUCUAUAUUUAAAAAAGGGCAUAUAUGUCUUUUAAUUCUCAUAAAAAAAGAUCAGAAAUUAAAGAAAAAAUAAAAAACCCCUAACAGAACAGCACAACACUGGAAAUCAGCGAUUUUAAAAAAGAAACAGAGAGCUCUUGUUCUACAGCAAACGAACGAAAGAGAAAAAUAAAUUGAAAAUUGAAAGUUUUAGUUCUCAAACUAAAUAGAGAGAUGGAAGAAGAAGGAGACGAAGGUAAGUUUCUAACUUAGUUUAAAGGUUGAAUUUGUAUCUUCCAUGACUAUAAGAUUGAGAAUUGAGAAGUUGAGAAACAUGGGUUUAGAAGAAAUAGAGGAAAUUUAUUUCAUUCUUAUGAACCAAGAUAACAUAGUCAAUGAUUUGAACGAUAAACUUUGGUAUUGUUCUUAUAUGCAAUGAAAGUUAUUAGGCAAUAAUGUUAGAUUGAUCUUUUUACAGUGAGAAUUGACCAAGAAGAGACUAUUUUAUGUGAUUAAAGUACUAAUUAAGUGAUUUGGAUAGAUUUCGAAUUAAUCAUGAAAUCUCUAGGGAUGAGUUUUUGUUAAUGUAGUAUGAAUUACCUAAACGAAGGAGUUAACAUGAAAUUAUUAUGAAUGUGUUUAUAGUUUGACCAAAGGAAUUCACAUAGACUAUUCAAGUGAAGAGCUUGGUGUUUCAACACAAGUACAAUGAGUAGCAAUCUUACCACAAUUGAUGUUUUAUAAGUUGCAUGAUUUUCACGUGGUGUAUAAAGUAAUGUGUUAUUGAAUGUUUUGAACUUGCAUGUGGGACAAGUAUUUUACUAGAUAUGAUACCGGAAGAUUUUUUGAGAUAAUCUCAUUUUUACAAGAUAUGAUUACUGGUAUUGAAAAAGUUUUACACUUAUUUGAGAAAUAGUAUUUUGACAGUUGAUUGUUAAACUUUAAAAUGAUAUGAUUUAAUAAGAUUUUAAGUGCUCUGUUCAUUUUUAAAAUGUUUUUACUGAUUACAAGAAAAAUAUAAAUGAGAAUAGACUUUGAUGAAUCCCGUUAGACCUGGUGCACCUUGUAUUUACUGAUUUCUUAUAAAGUCCUUGCUAGUGGGAGUGGAAUUAGUAUACUAUUACUGAUAUCCCUCGAGGAGGGAUCUACUGGUAUGAAUAUUUAACUCCUUUAUGAGGAGUUCACUGUUAUUGAUUACUUCUUAUAAAGAAGGUCACUAUGAUUACAUGAUUCAUCUUUGAAAACCUCCCAGAUAUAAGCUUUGAUAUAAAAGUGUUUUUCUGAGUUUACAGCUAUAAGAUUUGAUAUGAAAUUGUUAUUUUACUGAGUUUGCUAUUAUGUAUUUACACUGAAUAUGCUCAUAUGAGGCAUACAAGAUUGAAUAUGGUUAUUUUUUUAAGAGCAUUAUUUCAUCAUUAUGACUAUUAUAUUAGCAUGUUUUCUAAUUUGUCCCUCAUUAAAAUGGUUGUGGAUAAGUAUUAUUACUAACUGAGCUAGUGUCUCACUUCUCGCUAAUUGAUUUUUUACAGAGAAUUCAGGUGGUGUUGAGGAGGAUUUAUUGUUAUUCUUAUAGUAACCUGUAUUUAUAAGGUUAAUAAACAGAAACAGAAAUAAGAUGAAGCAGAAAAACAUAAAAUAUAAGAAGUAAUCCGAAUCCAUAGAAACUACUGUGUCCUUAAGAAAUUUAAUCCCCUCACUGUACCCAAGGUUAUGGAUUAAUUUAUCCCAAGAUAAAACGGAUUAAACCUGUUAAAGAAAUAGUGGUACCUCAAAUUUCUUUAACUUCAGCGAACUUGAGAACAGCAACAAGUCACACAGACUCAGUCGAUCGACACUUUUGAUUUUAUUUGAGAGAAAAAUAAAUGCAGAGAAGGAAAAUUUUCAGUGUUUAAAAAAUCGAAAAUUGACUUUCUUUUAUAGCCAUUUUCAGCAAGAAACGUGUCUGUUCAGAGAAAUCUGUUCAGACCCGUUUAUUCCAAAAAGUUGUGUCUUUUGAAAAAAAUAACAACUUUUCGGAAAAAUGUGUCUGUUAGGAAAAUAACGACUUUUUUUUAGAAAAUAACGACUUUUCGGAAAGAGCAACAACUUUUCAGAAUGUUACCGUUACCCGCAAAUUUAUAAGAGAUGAUAUUAACAGAAUUUAUUUGAUUUAGCAAAAAUUGAUUAAAUAAAUUUUGUCCAAAAAAUUUAUCAAUCAAUCACAUCAUUUGCCAAAUCCAAAUCCCAAGCCCAAGCCCAAGCCCAAGCCGAGGUCGAGCGAGCGACGACGACGCGAGGGGACAUCUUAUUCUUAGCUCUUUAAGAAGUAAUGGAAGUGUUUCCUUAUAUAAGGACAACAAUUUUCCUUUGUUUUGUCGAUAUGGGAUAAAUGACUUUACAUUUGCACUUUGCAAAUGACUAUUCAUUUUCCCUCCAAAGCAUUUCCCUCACUUUUCAUAUUCUCUUUUUUCUUUUCCCAUUCACACUUGCUAAACCCCAACAAUCCCCUACAUGAAUGGGGAAGACUAUUAUUAAAACAUAUGCAUGAAAAAAAAAAACUUGUGUGUCUUGUAGGUAAAGGUUAAUUGCAUCUAGAUAAGUAGGUUUCCUUUUAAACUUUCCGUAGUGAACAUAUAUCGGAUAUACUCUGUCAAUCGUUAGAUUUGAUAUCUUUGAACCGUCGAGCUUUGGUGUAAAUCUAGACAACAUAUGUCACACAAUCAACCCUUGAACUGUUCUUAGUUCUCAUUGUUUUGUUCGUUUCAGCCAUGAACACAUCUUGGAUAGUAAGUGCUUAAAGAAUUGGCCUUACCGGAUUCUCCUUGAAGCGGCUUACACUUCACACUUACAUAGGUGAUUUCUAAAUAUGUUAUCCCAUAGAUACACCAUUUGAUAUUCCCUGUAUUCAAACUUAGAAACCAUUAAAAAGUCCUUAUGUCUUUAUCUUGGUUACUAAACAUUGUCUCAUCAUGAGAAUGGACCAUAAAAUAAUAUUAAUUUUUUUUUCUUUUGAUAAUGUUGAACCGUCAUCAAUGACUUUGUUUUAUCUCCUUGAACCUAGAUCUUGGGAUAUCCAGCCUUCUAGGUAGAGUUACCACCACGAUGACUUGUUCUCGGCCAUAGUCCCAUUCCCGUCAAUGAUUUCUCAAUUCCCUCUCUAUUUAGGCCUUUUGUAAGUGGAUCCGACACAUUAUCUUUUGACUUCACAUAGUCAAUUGUGAUAAUUCCACUAGAGAGUAGUUGUCUCACAGAAUUAUGUCUUUGUCUUAUGUGACGAGACUUGCCGUUAUACAUAAUGCUUCCAGCCCUUCCUAUUGCAGCUUGACUAUCACAAUGUAUGCAUAUAUGGGCCAUUGGUUUGGGCUAAAAUGGAAUAUCUUCUAAGAAGUUCCGGAGCCAUUCAACUUCUUCAUUUGCCUUGUCUAAUGCAAUGAAUUCAGAUUCCAUUGUAGAGCGAGCUAUACAUGUUUGUUUGGAUGAUUUCCAAGAUAUUGCUCCUCCACCAAUAGUAAAAACGUAUCCACUUGUGGAUUUUGUUUCAGUUGACCCAGUAAUCCAAUUUGCAUCACUAUAUCCUUCAAGAACGGCUGAAUAUUUGUUGUAAUGUAAAGCAUAGUUUUGAGUGUCAUCUAAGUAUCUCAAAACUCUCUUCAUUGUCAACCAAUGAUUUUUAUUAGGAUUACUUGUGUAUCGACUCAGUUUACUGAUAGCGCAAGCUAUGUCUGGUCGUGUACAAUUCAUGACAUACAUUAAGCUUCCCAAUACGCUAGCAUAGUCCAAUUGAGACUGACUUUCACCUUUAUUCUUUGCAAGAUGAAGGUUUACAUCAAUUGGAGUCUUUGCCCUUUUAAAAUUCAAAAAAAUUGAAUUUUUCAAGUAUCUUUUGAAUAUAAUGAGUUUGAGACAAUUCUAGACCAUUAGGAGUUUUAAGAAUUUUAAUUCCUAAUAUCACAUCAGCAACUCCUAAAUCUUUCAUAUCAAACUUACUAGCGAGCAUACGCUUUGUAGCUUUUAUAUUAGCAAUGUCUUUGCUCAUUAUAAGCAUAUCAUCUACAUAUAGUCAUAAAAUAACUUUCUGAUUUGGAGUAUCUUUAAUGUAAACACAUUUAUCACAUUCAUUGAUCUUAAAUCCAUUUGACAACAUGGUUUGAUCAAACUUUGCAUGCCAUUGUUUUGGUGCUUGUUUUAGUCCAUAAAGUGACUUAAUAAGUUUGCACACUUUCUUUUCUUUACCAGGAACUACAAAACCCUCAGACUGUUCUAUGUAAAUUUCCUCUUCAAGCUCUCCAUUUAAGAAGGUUGUUUUCACAUCCAUUUGAUGAAUUUCAAGACCGUAUGCUACAGCUGGUGCAAUUAACAUCCGAAUUGAUGUAAUCAUAGUCACUGGCGAGUAUGUGUCAAAAUAAUCAAGACCUUCUUUUUGUCUAAAACAUUUGACAUUAAGUCUUGCUUUAUAUUUGUCAAUAGUUCCAUCGUCUUUCAUCUUCCUUUUAAAGAUCCAUUUUGAACCCAAAGGUUUGUUCCCUGGAGGAAGAUCAACCAACUCCCAAGUAUGAUUGCUUAAGAUUGAUUCUAUUUCACUAUUAACAGCCUCCUUCCAAGAGGUUGAGUCGCUAGACAACAUUGCUUCCUUGAAUGUUUGAGGCUCACUUUCAAGAAGAAAUGUUAUAAGAACUGAUCCAAAUGAAGUAGAUGUCUUUUGACAUUUAUUGCGUCUUGGACUUUCUUCAUUUUGUUCAUUCUCUUUUGGUUCUUCUCUGGGUUGUUUAAAUCCCCCACUAGAUGACUCAAGUCUAGUUUUAUACGGAUAGAUAUGUUCAAAAAAUUCAGCACUAUCUGAUUCCGUUACCGUAUUAUCAUGAAUAUCCGGAUGUUCCGACUUAUGAGCCAAAAAUCGACAUGCCUUACUGUUUGUGGCAUAUCCAAUGAAUACACAAUCCACAGUCUUAGGUCCUAUUUUGACCCUCUUAGGUAUAGGAACUUGGACUUUUGGCUAGACACCCCCACGCUUUGAAAUAUUUCAAAUUGGUUUUUCUACCUUUCCAUUUCUCAUAUAGAAUUACAUUUGUCUUUGAGUGAGGCACUCUGUUAAGUAUUUGAUUUGCUGUAAGGAUAGCUUCCCCCCACAAAUUCUGUGAUAAACCUGAACUUAUAAGUAAUGCAUUCAUCAUUUCUUUUAAAGUUUGGUUUUUCCUUUCUACAAUUCCAUUAGACUGAGGAGUGUAGGGAGCAGUAGUUUGAUGGAUUAUUCCAUUUCUAAACAUAUUUCUGCAAAUGCAGAUUCAUAUUCUCCACCUUUAUAACUUCUGAUCAUUUUGAUAUUUUUAUCUACUAAUUUUCAACUUCAGUUUUAUAUUGCCUAAAUGCAUCUAUUGCUUCAUCCUUACCAUUUAGCAAAUAUACAUAACAAUAUCUCGUGUAAUCGUCAAUAAAAGUUAUGAAAUACUUUUUCCCACCACGUGAUGGUGUUGAAUUCAUGUCACAAAUAUAAGUGUGAAUCAAUUCUAAAAGAUUUGAAUUCCUUUCAACAGAUUUAUAAGAAUGCUUAGCAUACUUAGAUUCAACACAAAUUUGACAUUUUGAUUUAUUGCACUCAAAUUUUGGCAAAAUAUUUAAGUUAAUCAGUUUUCGCAAGGUGUUGUUAUUAACGUGUCCCAAACGUUCUUGCCAUAAACAUUUAGACUCAAGCAAGUAAGAAGAAGCAAAAUCUUUAUUCAUAUUAACUGCAAUUACAUUGAGUUUGAAAAGGCCAUCACUAAGGUAGCCUUUACCUACAUACAUAUCAUUUUUGCUUACUACUACUUUAUUAGAAACAAAUACACAUUUGAAUUCAUUCUUGGUCAGAACUGGAAUUGAAACUAAAUUCUUUCUCAAUUCUGGAACAUAUGAGACCCUAUUUAAAGUCACCACCUCGCCUGAUGUCAUCUUUAAUAAGACUUUGCCAGUUCCUUCCACCUUUGCAACAACGGUGUUUGCCAUAAACAAUUUUUCAUCUGUAAGUGCUGGAGUAUAUGUGAAAAUAAUUCUUUGUUGGCACAAACAUGGCAUGAGGCACCAGAAUAUAUCCACCAUUCUCUUGGAUUUUCAACCAAGUUACAUUCUGAAAGCAUUGCACAGAGAUCGUCCAUUUCUCCUUUGGAUUCAGCCAAAUUUGCUUGAUCCUUCUUUUUCUUGUCCUUCUUUGGACCCCGACAUUCAUCAGCCCUAUGACCAUGUUUACCACAAUUAAAGCAGUUUCCAUUGAAUUUCUUCUUAGGAGGAUUGCUUUGGACCAGAUGCUUUCUUUCUUUUCUUUAAUUUUGUGUGAUCUUCUUCAACAAAAUUUACUCCAGAUAUUGCUGAAUCACCACAUGACCUCUUUUCUGCAGCCUUAUUAUCCUCUUCGAUUCUCAACCUUACUAUGAGAUCUUCAACAGUCAUCUCCUUGCGUUUGUGUUUCAAGUAAUUUUUGAAGUCCUUCUAUUAUGGAUGUAACUUUUCAAUAAUUGCAGCCACUUGAAAAGCAUCAUUUACAAUCAAUCCUACAUUAAGGAUUGUCACACCCCUUUUUUUUCCUCUCAAUAUUUUUUUAUUUUUAAUUUUUUAUUGUUUCGAAAGAAAAAGAGUUUUUCCAAUUAAAAUGACAUUUUGAAAAGGGAUAAUUAUUAUUCAGAGUCGCCACUUGGAAUUGAUUUUUGGUGUUCCAAGUCACCUUAUUUAAAUCCCUAAUUAAAAGGAAAAUUGACUCUAUUUUUUAUUGGUCUGCGAACUAAAAAUCCGAGUAAGGAUUCUGUUGACCGAGGGGAAGGUGUUAGGCAUCCCUCGAGUCCCGUGGUUCUAGCACGGUCGCUUCAUUGACUUUUAAUAUGACUAAACUUAAUUUUUGGACACUGUAUUAUUUAACUUAAUAAUAAAAUUGUAUUUUAUUUUCAGAUUUAUUCUAAACUUAUUUUAAACAGACUAAAUUUGCUUUUACAUUUUUUUAUAUAUUUUUAUGUUAUUAUGGGGAUGAAUUUAUAGGUAUUUUAUAGUUAGAAAAUAUUUAGAGUUCACGUUAAUUUAGAAUUUCUAUUUUUUUUAAAAAAAAUAAUAGAAAGAUGAAAUUUUAUGAGAUUUGAAUUAGUUUUAAAAUCACAAAAAUUCUAAAUAGAUUAGGACUAUAUUUAUUUUUUAAGAAAGGUUAAAUUUUAUUUUUUUUAAUCUUUUAAUGCAUGUAACAAUUUUUAACAUUUUGUCUUCUUUUUUUAAAAAAAAAAUAAUUAUUAUUUUUAGAUUAAUUCUUUUUGUUUACGUUUGUUAUCUUUUUUGUGCUACAUUCUCUUUUUUUUUCACUUUUUCUUUCUUUUUAUGUUUUUAACUUUUUUUUUUCUUUUUACGUUUUUUAUUCUGAUUCUCUUUUUUUUUCACGUUUUCUUUUUACUUUUUUUUUAAAAAAAAAAUUCUGUUUCUGUUUUUUUUUUUGGAAAAAUCUGUUUUUUUUUUAAUUUUAUUUAUUUAUUUUAUUUUAGAUUUUAUAUAUAUAUAUAUAUAUAUAUAUAUAUAUAUAUAUAUAUAUAUUCCUUCUGUAAGUCUGCUUCUCUCUUCUUCUUUUUUUUUGUUUUAUCAUUAUUUUUAUUAUAUUAUUAUUUUAUAAUUUUUGUCUUCUUCUUUCUUUCUUUUUUUUUUUCAAAUUAUUUCAUACUAAUUUUGUUACUCUUUUUUUUAUUAUGUUAUUUUUUUUUUUAAAACGUUCUAUUUUAUAAAUUUUAAAUUUGUAUUUUUUAUUUUUUUAUUUCUUACUUCUCCCCCUUUUUUUUUUACGUUUUAAUACAUAUUUUUUUUGAAUUUACGUUCUUUUUUUUUUUUGUUUCUGUUAAAAAAUUUUGUUAUGUUUUUUCUUCUUAUUAUUAUAUUUUCAUGCCCUUUUUUUUCUUUUUAUUUUUUAAAUCUCUUUUCUAAUUUCUCAAUUUUUACUUCAGUUAUUAUUAUUAUUAUUAUUAUUGUUAUUAUUAUUAUUAUUAGUAAAUAAUAUUAAUCUCUAAAUGAAAUUUAUUUACCUUUUAAUUACAAUUCUACUUAGAUUAGUUUUUCUUUUUGAAAAAAUCAUUUAUUAGUUAUUAUUUUUAUAUCCUAAUCUAAUCAGUCUACAAUUUAUUCAACAAAAAUCUCUAAAGUGAAAAUAGACGAAAAGAUAUAUUAAUCUAUUUAAAUUCAACAACUCAAUAUCAUGAAGUAACAUAAAUUGCAAAAUCUAUCUAAAAACAUAAUAGUAGUAAUAACGUAACAAUAAUAUAAUACAUGUGAUUUGAAGUAUUUCAUGCUAUUAAAAUCAACUUUUCAUAGAAGUAGUAUUAUUUAAAUUACGCGAGAAUUUAUAGUUACCUCGCUGCGAAAAUUGAUACCACAAAAGCGAGCUGUAUCCACAAAUUCGGAAUCACGAUCAAAUCUCUAACUCUAACCUAAUUCUCAAAAGAAAUAACUCGUUUUUUUUUCUAUAUUUCUCUCUGUAUUUUUCUCUAUAUCUCUCUUUUCCUCUCUGUAUUUCUUUGUAUCUGUGUAUCUGUGUAUAUUUACAUCUCUCUGUAUUUUUUUCUUCUCAACUGAACGUGUUUUUAUAAUAAUUUUGGCUGAGAGUUUAGUGCUAAUUAAAAGGAUAGUAAUAGAGUUGGAUUAUGAUUUAAUUUGAAAUAUUGUUGAGGGGAUUGGGGUUGAGAUAAGGAUGGAUAUAAAAUAAAUAAAUAAUAAUAAUAGAAAAUUAAAAAAAAAGUGAAAUGAACGUCCAAAGAGAGAGAGAAGAAAAAAAAUAAAAAAUAAAUGGGAUGAGAUUUUUUAGUAAAAUAAGUUAGGAAGUUGGGAAUAAUUAGGAUAAGGGGAAGGUAAUUUGAAUAUUUAGGACUCCCCUUUUUUUCUUUUUCUACCAUUAUUUUUAAACUAAUUAAAAGUUGAAGAUUUAAAACAAAUACCAUAAAUUCAUAAUUUUUAUCAUUAAAGUAAUUUAUACAAUUUAUUUAUUUUUUAUUUAUUUUAAAUAUAACCUUUUUUUAAAAAUUGGUGUUUGACUCUUUAUAUUUUGGUAAAAAAUUAGGUGUUCACAGUAUGCCCCUCUUUGCUUGAAAACAUGAAAAGUUUUCAUGCAAAGACGUGAACAAUGUGACUAAUUUUUUACUGAAAUAUUUAUGCGAAAAAUUUAUAGUAGAGAAGAGGUUUGACUGUGUCCUAACUUUUUAAAACUACCUAUCCUAUGUUGAGAUGAUAAGGAGUCAAGCGUAGUUCCAAUGAGUUAGGUAGCCGAGUGAGGUUUUGUCGAGAUUCCGGUUCGUAGCUCCAGCUAUUACAAAAAAAAACAACAUGCAAAAGAAAAGAUAUGAAAUCCUAUCUACUCCAUAGUGUCAAGUCUUCAUUUUGGAUUCUUGAUAUCGCUUCACCCUCUUUGGUAGGUUCAUCGAUUCCGAACUUCGCUUUGAACAUCUGAGUUUAAGACUUGAAACUUCAUGACUUGACUUCAGCUACUGACGUUCUCCCGCAUGAUAUUCUUGAAAUCUUAUUUUCUUGAAAGGAUGAAUUCUUUUAUUUUUGAACUGCAAAUUUGUGUACUAUGUAGAAACCUGCACACAAAAACAAAAUUUUCUACCUAGUUUGUACUAGGAAUUUUGUGAGUUAUUGAUUAAAGCUAUAAAAAUCUAUACUAAUAAUAAAAUAAUAUUUUUGUAGCCUAUUACAAAAUGUAAAACAAAAAAUAAGACGAAAGUGAGUUUUGUACCCAAAUUGCAAUCAGGGGUUAUUAUGCCCUGUGGAGACAUAAAAAAUAAAAUAGGGGUUAUUGUGCCCUAUAUGCAACCCAGAGGUUAUUAUGCCCUGUGAGACAUGAAAAAUAAAAUAGGGGUUAUUGUGCCCUAUAUGCAACCAGGGGUUAUUGUGCCCUGUGAAAACAUGAAAAAUAAAUUAGGGAUUAUUGUGCCCUAUAUGCAACCAGGGGUUAUUGUGUCCUGUGAAAACAUAAAAAAAAUGAUAGGGGUUAUUGUGCCCUAUAUGCAAUCCAGGGAUUAUUGUGCCCUGUGAAGAAAUGAAAAAUAGGAUAGGGGUUAUUGUGCCCUAUAUGCAACCAGAGGUUAUUGUGCCCUGUGAAGACAUAAAAAAUGAUAGGGGUUAUUGUGCCCUAUAUGCAAUCUAGGGGUUAUUGUGCCCUAUGAAGAAAAAAAUGAUAGGGGUAAAUGUGCCCUAUAUGCAACCAAGGGUUAUUGUGCCCUGUAAAGACAAAAAAAAUGAUAGGGGUUAUUGUGCCCUAUAUGCAAUCCAGGGGUUAUUGUGCUCUGUGAAGACAUGAAAAAUAAAAUAGGGAUUGUUGUGCCCUAUAUGCAACCAGGGGUUAUUGUGCCCUGUGAAGACAUAAAAAAAAUUAUAGGGGUUAUUGUGCUCUAUAUGCAAUCUAGCGGUUAUUGUGCCCUGUGAAGACAUGAAAAAAAAUGAUAGGGGUUGUUGUGCCCUAUAUGCAAUCCAGGGGUUAUUGUGCCCUGUGAAUACAUGAAAAAAAAUGAUAGGGGUUAUUGUGCCCUAUAUGCAAUCCAGGGGUUAUUGUGCCCUGUGAAGACAUGAAAAAAAAUGAUAGGGUUAUUGUGCCCUAUAUGCAAUCUAGGGGUUAUUGUGCCCUGUGAAGACAUGAAAAAAAUGAUAGGGGUUAUUGUGCCCUAUAUGCAACCAGGGGUUAUUGUGCCCUGUGAAGACAUAAAAAUGAUGAUAGGGGUUAUUGUGCCCUAUAUGCAAUCCAGGGGUUAUUGUGCCCUGUGAAAAAAAAUGAUAGAGGUUAUUGUGCCCUAUAUGCAAUCCAGGGGUUAUUGUGUCCUGUGAAGAAAAAUGAUAGGGGUUAUUGUGCCCUAUAUGUAAUCCAGGGGUUAUUGUGCCCUGUGAAGACAUGAAAAAUAUGAUAGGUUUUUUUUUUUACUUAUGUUAUUAUUAUUUAUUAUUAUUUUAUUUUAUUUUAUUUUUAUUAGUACAUUGACCAAUUUAAAAAUAAAAUAAAAUGCCCCAGAUUUUAUUAAGAAAAAAAAUAAUUUUUUUUUUUGCAUAUUAUAUGAGAGACAAGGAUAAAAAAACUUACCAUCGCGGCGUUUGUCUCUAGCGAAUUACUUGCAUUAUUUGUCUUUAUAGCUCUUUCAGCCUAUAACUUUAGUUCUAUCUUUAUUGUUCUCAUGCCAAGACGGAAUGUCAUCAUUUGAUAAAUGGUAUCAUUCGUGAUUUUUUACCAAGUAGACAUUCUUAUAUUUUUUACUGUCGUCUUAUGUUUCUCUCGAGAGUUUUCACUCAUAAGACCCUCUUAUUUUUUUUUAUUUUUUAUUUUCUAUUUUUUCUGUAACAUACCAUAGGCUACAAUGUCAUGUUUCAACCUUGUAGAUUUUAAAUAGCAUGAUCAUUAUUUUAUUGAGUGAUUAGACCGAACCUCAAUGAAGGGGUGCCUACGUAUCCUCUUAGGAAUCAGGUCGAACGUAGUUCAACAAAAAAUAUUUUUCUUUUUUUUUUAAUUUAUUUUAAAAAUAUAAUGGAAAAAUUGGGAAAAAAAUUAGUUCAUGUUUGAUAGUGCUUUGACGUUAGUUGGUACCAACAAUUAGUAUUAUGCAUAUGAACUACAUUCAACGACUUUCAAAUAAAUUUGAGGUCAACUUUGAAUAAUUUAUAUAAUUUCAAAUUGUAUCUCAAAUAUAUUUAAGUAAUUACAAGAUCAAUUUAUCUUGUCAAAAUUAAGGGAUAGAAUUAUUCGUAUCCUCAUGUUUCAAAUGCACUCUCAAUAUAUGAAAGUCCUACUUCACACAAUAUAAUAAUUUAGAUCGUAGGACAUUUUUGAAAGUCACUCCCACUCAGAAAGAUAUUCAAUGCAUGAAAUUAAGAUACCAUAUGCUUGGCCCUCAUGUAAGCAUCCACUAAUAUGAGAACAUAAAAAUGAGAUCAAAUAGGACUUGUCAUUGGCUUGUAAUGUAGUCUUAGGGAAAGGUAGGAUAUUCAUUUGAGAUGAAGUGACUAUUUCCUCCUUAAAAUUCGCACGAUGCUUUUGAUAUUUUUUUUUUCGUUUUUGCAUUUGACCUUUGUUUUCUUGUAAGGUCUUUUCCAUUUAUUUUUUGUCUCUUCAUUUUUUGAUCUUCUCUCCUUUUUGUUGGAGUUUUUUUUUUCAUUUUUCAUUCUAUCUUUUUUUUUGGACAUAUUUGGUCUUUUUCACUUUGUUAUCCAACUUAGAUCUUUGAUGUUAUAUAGAUAUUUCCUAGUGCGCUCAAGGAGGUGAGAUAAAUGGAUUAGUGCAUUUAUACACUCAAAAGGCAUAUGCUAAGAUAUGGUUAUUCUAAUAAAAAACUUCCAGGGUCGAAAUGGGAUGUAGAUAAAUGUUAUUCGGUAGGCUUGAAAGGCACAAUCGAUUCAAAGAAAGCCUAUAAUCCUUUCUCAAGUUAAAUGUUGCUCAAAAUUUCGUCUCAACCAACAUUCGGGCCAAGUUCUAGAUCAGCAAAAUCAUGACUUUGAAUUUUACGUCUAAAGCUCACCACACAAUGCAUUUGAAACAAUGAGGUCAAAUUUAUUUUAUCCAUAACUUUAAACAAGAUAAUUUCUCAAGUAUGACAUAAAUGUAUUGAGAGAUGUCAAUAGAAGUCUAUAGGUCACAACAAAGUUGAUCUGUCUUACCAAAUAGUUUAACACUUUAUUUUUUCUUUCUUAUGCAUAAUCCUAAGCAUGUUGUUACCAACCAAGUCAAAGAAAAAAAAAUCUAUUUUUUUUGCCCCAGUUUAUGUGACUAGAAUUUUUAGGUUUUUUUUUCUCGGUUGGACCGAACCUCACAAUAAGGUUGCCUACGUAUCUCGUUAAAACAAGAAUCAGGUCUAACGUAGUUCCAAAAUAUAAGUAAAAAUAUGUUUUCUUAAGGAAAAAUUUCCUUUUUAAUAUAUACACAUAUUAUUUCAUUUUUUAAUUUUUAAAUAAUAAUUAAGAUAUUUUUUUAAAUUUUUUAAUUUUUAAAUAAGGAUCACCGAACCCAAGGAAGGUUGCCUACGUAUCUCAUCAAGGUGAGAAUCAGGUGUGCGUAGUUCGUUCAGAUUGAACACUUAAAUAUUUUUUGUUAGAAAUUUAUUGACAAAUGCAACUUUUUUCUUCGUUUAAAGUGAUAUAAGAAAACUUUUAAAAUUUCUUUUUGUGAACUUUACAUUGUAAAAGAAAAAAAAACUUUUUCUAUUAUUCUGAUUUUAAUUUAAAAUGGUAAAUUAAGUUAUUUAUCUAGAUAGAUCCGAUCAUAUGUAGAGUCUUUCAUUAAAUCAUAUGUAAAUGAUUCAAAUAAUGUAGUCUAUUAGGAACUAUUACAUUUGGUUUCAGUUAUCAUGUUUAAACUCGUGGAGAAAAGUAUCUAGACUGGCUGUAAAACGAGCUGACAACUCGAGUUAGGGAGUAGCAACGUACCGGUAGCAGCGCUUUCCGGCUUUGUGCAUGGGUGCUCCCUAUCCUAAAUAUGUGUGAUUAAAAAUCCUUCACCAUGGACCGAAGAUCCACUGGCUAUCUUGACAGAAAUGGGGUGCAUAGUUGCAAUUCCCAUCAUAUUAUUAUUGAAGACUUAGUAAAAUUCGCGAGAGAUCACAAUUUAUAUGCAGAUCAAAUAAUAUCAUACAUUAAAUAAGUAGACAAUUUACACAUUAAGACAAAUAAAUACAAUAUCCCAAAAUGUAAAUAAUAAAUCAUAGUCAUACAUAAAUCAAUAUUGAAAGCUCGAAUUCUAGUUAAUCCCCAGCGGAGUCGCCAUCUGUCACACCCCUUUUUUUUUCUCUCAAUAUUUUUUUAUUUUUAAUUUUUUAUUGUUUCGAAAGAAAAAGAGUUUUUUCAAUUAAAAUGACAUUUUGAAAAGGGAUAAUUAUUAUUCAGAGUCGCCACUUGGAAUUGAUUUUUGGUGUUCCAAGUCACCUUAUUUAAAUCCCUAAUCAAAAGAAAAAUUGACUCUAUUUUUUAUUGGUCUGCGAACUAAAAAUCCGAAGUAAGGAAUUCUGUUGACCAAGGGGAAGAUGCUAGGCAUCCCUCAAGUCCCGUGGUUCUAGCACGGUCGCUUCAUUGACUUUUAAUAUGACUAAACUUAAUUUUUGGACACUGUAUUAUUUAACUUAAUAAUAAAAUUGUAUUUUAUUUUCAGAUUUAUUCUAAACUUAUUUUAAACUGACUAAUUUUGCUUUUACAUUUUUUUUAUAUAUUUUUAUGUUAUUAUAGGGAUGAAUUAUAUAGGUAUUUUAUAGUUAGAAAAUAUUUAGAGUUCACGUUAAUUUAGAAUUUCUAUUUUUUUUAAAAAAAAAUAAUAGAAAGAUGAAAUUUUAUGAGAUUUGGAUUAGUUUUAAAAUCACAAAAAUUCUAAAUAGAUUAGGACUAUAUUUAUUUUUUAAGAAAGGUUAAAUUUUAAUUUUUUUAAUCUUUUAAUGCAUGUAACAAUUUUUAACAUUCUGUCUUCUUCUUUUUUUUAAAAAAAAAUAAUUAUUAUUUUUAGAUUAAUUCUUUUUGUUUACGUUUGUUAUCUUUUUUGAUAUAACUAAUUUUUAUUUUUAUUUUUUUUUACGUUCCUUACUAAAAAAUAAUUUUGUGCUACAUCCUCUUUUUUUUUACUUUUUCUUUCUUUUUAUGUUUUUAACUUUUUUUUUCUUUUUACGUUUUUUAUUCUGAUUCUCUUUUUUUCACGUUUUUUUUUACUUUUUUUUUAAAUUCUGUUUCUGUUUUUUUUGAAAAAAUCUGCUUUUUUCUUAUUUUAUUUAUUUAUUUUAUUUUAGAUUAUAUAUAUAUAUAUAUAUAUAAGUCUGCUUCUCUCUUCUUUCUUUUUUUUUUUGUUUUAUCAUUAUUUUUAUUAUAUUAUUAUUUUAUAAUUUUUGUCUUCUUCUUUCUUUCUUUUUUUUUUCAAAUUAUUUCAUACUAAUUUUGUUACUCUUUUUUUUUAUUAUGUUAUUGUUUUUUUUUAAAACGUUCUAUUUUAUUAAUUUUAAAUUUGUAUUUUUUAUUUUUUAUUUCUUACUUCUCCUUUUUUUUUUACGUUUUUAUACAUAUUUUUUUUGAAUUUACGUUCUUUUUUUUUGUUUCUGUUAAAAAAUUUUGUUAUGUUUUUUUUUUCUUAUUAUUAUAUUUUCAUGCCCUUUUUUUUCUUUUUAUUUUUUAAAUCUCUUUUCUCUUUAUGUAAUUUCUCAAUUUUUACUUCUGUUAUUAUUAUUAUUAUUGUUAUUAUUAUUAUUGUUAUUAUUAUUAGUAGUAGUAGUAAAUAAUAUUAAUCUCUAAAUGAAAUCUAUUUACCUUUUAAUUACAAUUCUACUUAGAUUAGUUUUUCUUUUUGAAAAAAUCAUUUAUUAGUUAUUAUUUUUAUAUCCUAAUCUAACCAGUCUACAAUUUAUUCAACAAAAAUCUCUAAAGUGAAAAUAGACGAAAAGAUAUAUUAAUCUAUUUAAAUUCAACAACUCAAUAUCAUGAAGCAACAUAAAUUGCAAAAUCUAUCUAAAAACAUAAUAAUAGUAAUAACGUAACAAUAAUAUAAUACAUGUGAUUUGAAGUAUUUCAUGCUAUUAAAAUCAACUUUUCAUAGAAGUAGUAUUAUUUAAAUUACGCGAGAAUUUAUAGUUACCUCGCUGCGAAAAUUGAUACCACAAAAGCGAGCUGUAUCCACAAAUUCGGAAUCACGAUCAAAUCUCUAACUCUAACCUAAUUCUCAAAAGAAAUAACUCGUUUUUUUCUAUAUUUCUCUCUGUAUUUUUCUCUAUAUCUCUCUUUUCCUCUCUGUAUUUCUUUGUAUCUGUGUAUCUGUGUAUAUUUACAUCUCUCUGUAUUUUUUUCUUCUCAACUGAACGUGUUUUUAUAAUAAUUUUGGCUGAGAGUUUAGUGCUAAUUAAAAGGAUAGUAAUAGAGUUGGAUUAUGAUUUAAUUUGAAAUAUUGUUGAGGGGAUUGGGGUUGAGAUAAUGAUGGAUAUAAAAUAAAUAAAUAAUAAUAAUAGAAAAUUAAAAAAAAAAUAAAAAAAAAAGUGAAAUGAACGUCCAAAGAGAGAGAGAAGAAAAAAAAUAAAAAAUAAAUGGGAUGAGAUUUUUUAGUAAAAUAAGUUAGGAAGUUGGGAAUAAUUAGGAUAAGGGGAAGGUAAUUUGAAUAUUUAGGACUCCCCUUUUUUUCUUCUUCUACCAUUAUUUUUAAACUAAUUAAAAGUUGAAGAUUUAAAACAAAUACCAUAAAUUCAUAAUUUUUAUCAUUAAAGUAAUUUACACAAUUUAUUUAUUUUUUAUUUAUUUUAAAUAUAACCUUUUUUUAAAAAUUGGUGUUUGACUCUUUAUAUUUUGGUAAAAAAUUAGGUGUUCACAAGGAUUAUGUGAGUAUUAAGGGAAAACUUAAUAUUUCUAACAUAGACAUUAAAUAAAUUUAUACCUUCAGCAAUGAGAUCAUGGAUUAUGACCUGCAAUUCUUCAACUUGGGUGACGACAGUUUUACUGUCUAUCAUCUUAUAGUCCAGAAAUUUUGCCACAAUGAAUUUCUUCAUUCCGGCAUCUUCUGUUUUAUAUUUCUUUUCUAAAGCAUCCCAGAGUUGUUUUGAGGUUUUGGCAUUGCUGUACACAUUGUACAGAUCAUCUUACAGACCACUCAAAAUAUAAUUUUUACACAAAAAAAAUUUGAGUGUGUCCAUGCUUCUGUUACCAAGAAUCGUUCAUCAGCCGGAGUUUCAUCUGACAUAACAGGAACAUUCUCAUUAAUGAACUUCUGCAGACUCAACAUAGUGAGAUAGAAGAACAUCUUUUGUUUUCAUCUCUUAAAGUUGACUCCAGAAAACUUUGUAGGUUUCUCAGUCGGCUCUAAGGCAGUAUUUGAACGAUUAUGUGCAACCGAUGUUGUAGCAGCACUUACUGUUCCAAUAUUUAUUUGACUUGAAUCAGUCAUUUUUUUUCUGUCACAAAUGACAGAUAAGUUAAGUAUUUGAAAUACUAAAAGUAAAUAACAAAUCUUUACACAAACUGUUUAUGAUUAAACGAUAAAGUUAUUAUGUUCUUUUAAUCGUUAAUCGAAUGAAUUUUAAAAAUUCAAGCAGAGUAGAAAAUCAUAAAGGUUUUAAUCUCCAGAAACCUCAAAUACAGAAACUUUUAAAUUUCUUAAGAUUGUUAUUCUUAUAGUAACCUGUAUUUAUAAGGUUAAUAAACAGAAACAGAAAUAAGAUGAAGCAGAAAAACAUAAAAUACAAGAAGUAAUCCGAGUCCACAGAAACUACUGUGUAUCCUUAAGAAAUUUAAUCCCCUCACUGUAUCCAAGGUUAUGGAUUAAUUUCUCCCAAGAUAAAACAGAUUAAACAUGUUAAAGAAAUAGCGGUACCUCAAAUUUCUUUAACUUCAGCGAACUUGAGAACAACAACAAGUCACACAGACUCAGUCAAUCGACAGUUUGAUUUUAUUUGAGAGAAAAAUAAAUGCAGAGAAGGAAAAUUUUCAGUGUUUAAAAAAUCGAAAAUUGACUUCCUUUUAUAGCAAUUUCAGCAAGAAACGUGUCUGUUCAGACCCGUUUAUUCCAAAAAGUUGUGUCUUUUGGAAAAAAUAACAACUUUUCAGAAAAAUGUGUCUGUUAGGAAAAUAACGACUUUUUGGAAAGUAACGACUUUUCGGAAAGAGUAACAACUUUUCAGAAUGUUACGUUACCCGCAAAUUUAUAAGAGAUGAUAUUAACAGAAUUUAUUUGAUUUAACAAAAAUUGAUUAAAUAAAUUUUAUCCAAAAAAUUUAUCAAUCAAUCACAUCAAAAUCUGAAAAGCCGAAGCUGAGCGACGACGACGGCGCGAGGGGUAUCUUCUUCUUAGCUCUUUAAGAAGUAAUGGAAGUGUUUCCUUAUAUAAGGACAACAAUUUCCCUUUGUUUUGCCGAUAUGGGAGAAAUGACUUUUCAUUUGCACUUUGCAAAUGAGUUUUCAUUUUUCCUCUAAAGUAGUUCCCUCACUUUUCAUAUUAUCUCUUUUCUUUUCCCAUUCACACUUGCUAAACCCCAACAUUUAUUUAACUAGAGAAUAAGAUUUGGUUGCAUCUGGUGAGUCUCGCAUUGCUUCAUGUGGAAAGAGACCAUUUGAUUUGCUAUGUUUAUUUAGUUUCCUUAAACUCUUAGAGUCACUCCAUUUGUCAGUUCUUAUUUAGAGUCAUGAUAUUCUUUCAAAUUGUAGUCAAGUGACUAGUUUGAACCUCUUUUUUUAUAGUUGGAGAUAAAUUAGUUUUAUUGCGUGACAAUUAAAUUGAUGGAUAUUAUUUUGUGGUCUACAGUUGUUAUUAGUUGGGUUGUGAAUUUGUAAGACAUGAAAAGUUCAGGAUAGACAUAAAAACAAAGGAAACUCUGCCCAAUUUUCUAUAAAAUCCUGAUAAGGCUUGCUUUGGGGUUCUCCCCCUUAGCGUCGGUCAUGAUCCUUGAUUGGGUCGUGACAAAGAACCUUAUUCUUAUUUUUUUUCUUUUGUAGUUAUGGAUUAUGAACGAAAUUUUUAGGAGCUUUUGCAAAUUUGUUAUUAUAAUAAACUUAAUUAUGUUUAAUAGUUAUAGUUUGCAUAUUUAUGGAUUGUAACUACAGUUUAAGUAGCCUCUUUGAAUAAUUUGCGGGUAUAUUUAUAUAAUUAAGUUAUUUUUAUAAAAUUAAAUUUAUACAAUUACAAACAUCAUAAGUGUAAACAGUUAUAUAUAAAAAUUAUAUUAUACAAAUUCUGAAUGAAACCUGGAGCAAUUGUCAAAUCUAUAUUAAUUUAUAUUUAUUUUAAAUAGGUUUAAAGAAUGGUUACAAGUAAAUGAAAACAAGGGAGGUAGACGUAAUAUAGUAAACCAAAAGGGAGUUGAGUGUUAUAGAGCGAAACAUAGAGGUCUCUGAAAUUAUCCCUAUAAAUAUUAUAAAAAUAAUUUUAUUUUGAUUUGAAUAACAAGUAUUAACAUUAACAACAUUAUAUAUUGUUUUAUCGAUAUUUAUGAUGAUAUUUUAAAUUAUAAUUUAAAAUUUAAUUUAAUAAUUAUAAAAAAUAUAAUUUUUUUUAAAAAGUGGGUUGACCCUUCAAGCCUGUGGCCACAUACUUGUGGGUUGAACCCACCAUUUUUUAACCCAUGCCAAAAAUAAACUAACCCAUUCUAACCCGUAAAAUAUCAAAAUCCAUAUGAAUUAACACAAAUAGAGUGCGCUAGCCCAUAUUUACGUCUCUACUCUUAAACCUUUGUAAGAUUUGGAAAAUUGGACGAGUGGCUGAAUACAAAUUGUUGGGCGCCCGCGAAGUAGGGAUUAAAAGUCAAAUUCCUACAAAAAUAUUCGCUAAAAUAAGUCCCAAUAAAACCAAUAUAUAUAGCAGUAUUGCGUUCGCCGUUUCAACUUCAUUCACCCCUCUUUCUCAUCAUCAUCUCCUCGUUCUUCUCCUCUACACGAGGCGAGUCGAACGAAGGUACAAUUUCUCUCUUUCUCUAAUGUCUAAAUAUAGAUCGUUUACUUUUAUUCAUUUUUUCAGAUUUUUUAUCUCCGUUUUGCUUAUGUAUAUGUAUUCAUUUUACUGUUUUUAGCUGUUUUCUGAUUAGAUCUGUAAUAUAUAGUGAUUGUUCUGUUUCGUAGCUUUAGUGCGGUUCAUUCUGAGUAGUUUUUAAGGUGUUACGGAGAUCUGCUUUUGUUUUUGCUAGAAAUGUGAUUUAGUUUAAUGGAUCCAAUCGUAUUUGUGUUUUUCGAUGUUUUUAUUAGUUGUGGAUGAGUAUUUUGACUGUUGAGUGGGCAGAUCUGGUCAAUGAGUUAUAGUAUUGCUAUGUUCAUUCAUUAUGCUGCUCCAUGGGCAAACUUGUAGUAAUUUUAACUAGUUUUUUUUUAACUAAACGUAGUAUAGAAUUGCUGGUUGUAGUACUUUAUAUAGUCCCUCAGUUUAUGUGAUUGUAGUUGACUAGGGUUGACUAGUCACUGAGUCCAAGAAAGAAUAAUUUUUGAAACAUCUGAUCUAAAACAAGCUAUGUAUAUGUUUUUGUGGCUAUAACUAAUCUAAUUGGUAAUAUGAGAAUUAAAUUGUUUUUUAUCAUGAGAAAUUUGACAGACAAGAAAGGAGGUACUAUCAACUUAAAUUUGGGGCAGAGAGAGUAAUUUUAUUAAUGAAUUGUGAGUUGAUUCAUAUGCGAAUUUAGCAUUGAAGUUGAAUCAGGGGAAUCUGUCUAUCUGUAUAUAUUAGAUUUGUCUUAUGUCCUAUAAUUAUAAGACUCAAUCACUGCCAGCAUGCUAUGCAUACUGUUAGUACUUUGUGGACAAGAUAUAAAAAAAAAGAAGUUAUUAUUGUUGGCUGAAUAUCAGCCAUAUGUAUAAAGUAUUAUAUGUAUUGUUGUGUUGGCUAAAUAUCAGCCAUAUGUAUAAAGUAAGAGUCUUUUUAUUUUUGUCGUCUUGCGUCGGCUGAAAAAAGCCAAAUGUACAAAAGUCGUAAAGUAAAUAGUUUGUCGGCCAAUCAUGUAAAAAGUUUGUCGGUCAAUUAUGUAAAGUAAAUAGUAUGACGGUGUAAUUUAUGUGUAUAAAUAGAGGAGCUUUCCUCAUAAAUAAAACACACCUUCAUCCUUACAUCUCUCAUCUUUCUGAAUACCCUCUCUUUACGCUUCCACCCCAAAAUUGGUAUGGUCUGUUUGUUAAUCUAAAUUAGCCAAUGAAAUUGGAAUUGAUGCAAUGCAAAAAAUGUAAAUCUAAUUCUUUUUUAUUUUUUGAGCUCUUGCUAAUUGUGAAAGUUAUGCUUUUGGUGUGAAGUUGGUUGGUUGAGCUCCUAAAAUAUUUUGAGAUCUUACUUGAACAAGAUUUAUCUUGAGACUUUAAACCUAAAAUUUUGAGUUAAAGUUUUGCCCAAUUUAAUUGCUAUGUAGAGAUCAUAAAAGUGUUUAGCUGUUGACAUUUCUAAUGCAGUAACAGAAUUGCCAUUUCAAAUGGCGGUUGAAUGUGAGAAUACCAUGUUUAACUGGUUUAGUAAUGUUUUUAAGUUUGUUGUUGGGGUAUGUAUAUAUUGUGAGUAGAUAGAUGGUCUUAAUUGUUUAGUGUGCAGAUCAGUAGAUGAAUGGUGAGAACUCCUAGUGCUUAUGGCAGCAAUUUUUUUGUUCUUUGCUGGAUUUAUGGACUUAUUUUGUCAAUGUUGGGCUUAAGUAUAGAGAUCUGAUUCAUGCUCAAUCUGUGCAGGACUUUUUUAAACGUUGCAAUGACAGAUAUGAAUCAGCAUCCAACUGUUUUCCAGAAGGCAGCUAACCAGCUGCACUUGCGCUCUAGUCUAUCCCAAGAUGUCCAUGCUCGCUAUGGGGGCGUUCAGCCUGCUAUCUACCAGAGGCAUUUUGCUUAUGGCAACUACUCCAAUGCUGCUCUGCAGAGAGGCCAAGCCACUCAGGAUCUAUCAUUGAUCACCUCAAAUGCCUCACCUGUGUUUGUGCAGGCUCCUCAAGAGAAAGGAUUUGCAGCUUUUGCCACUGACUUUCUCAUGGGUGGAGUUUCUGCUGCUGUAUCAAAGACCGCUGCUGCCCCUAUUGAGCGUGUGAAACUAUUGAUCCAAAAUCAAGACGAGAUGCUCAAGGCUGGUAGGCUGUCAGAACCAUACAAGGGAAUUGGCGAUUGUUUCGGGAGGACAAUUAAGGAAGAAGGUUUUGGGUCUUUAUGGAGAGGAAACACUGCUAAUGUUAUCCGUUAUUUCCCCACUCAGGUUUACCAUUUGUCUUCAUUUUGAGGGAUGAAAUUUAUACAUCAAAGAUAUAUGCACAUUUAUUGUUCUGUUGUUUGUUUAAGUUGAGCAUUGACUGACUGAUGCUCUGCUCCACAGGCCCUGAACUUUGCAUUCAA